rnacentral:lncRNA from 1 species
AUUCCCAAACAGAAAAACUGGGAUCACCUGAUUUGAAAGUGGGAUAACUUCUUCAUCCUAAUUCCUAUGAGAUUUAUUCCACUUCCUGGUGAUUCACCACUUCUUUAUGUAUCCAAAUAUAGCUUCUUACAUCGCGAUUCAUUCUGCUUUGAUUAGAAUGACGAGGAAGUUGCCAUAUUUCCAAAUAGGAAAACUGGGAUCACCUGAUUUGAAAGUGGGAUAACUUCUUCAUCCUAAUUCCUAUGAGAUUUAUUCCACUUCCUGGUGAUUCACCACUUCUUUAUGUAUCCAAAUACAUAUUCUUACAUCACGAUUAAUCCUGGUUUGAUUAGAAUGACGAGGAAGUUGUCAUAUUCCCAAACAGGAAAACUGGGAUCACCUGAUUUGAAAGUGGGAUAACUUCUUCAUCCUAAUUCCUAUGAGAUUUAUUCCACUUCCUGGUGAUUCUCCACUUCUUUAUGUAUCCAAAUAACUUCUUCAUCUUAAUUCCUAUGAGAUUUAAUUCACUUCCUGGUGAUUCUCCACUACUUUAUGUAUCCAAAUAAUGCUUCUUACAUCGCGAUUCAUCCUGAUUUGAUUAGAAUGACGAGGAAGUUGUCAUAUUCCCAAACAGGAAAACUGGGAUCAGCUGAUUUGAAAGUGGGAUAACUUCUUCAUCCUAAUUCCUAUGAGAUUUAUUCCACUUCCUGGCGAUUCUCCACUUCUUUAUGUAUACAAAUACAUCUUCUUACAUCGCGAUUCAUCCUGGUUUGAUUAGAAUGACGAGGAAGUUGUCAUAUUUCCAAAUAGGAAAACUGGGAUCACCUGAUUUGAAAGUGGGAUAACCUCUUCAUCCUAAUUCCUAUGAGAAUUAUUCCACUUCCUGGUGAUUCUCCACUUCUUUUUGUAUACAAAUACAUCUUCUUACAUCGCGAUUCAUCCUGGUUUGAUCAGAAUGACGAGGAAGUUGUCAUAUUCCCAAACAGGAAAACUGUGAUCACCUGAUUUGAAAGUGGGAUAACUUCUUCAUCCUAAUUCCUAUGAGAAUUAUUACACUUCCUGGUGAUUCUCCACUUCUUUAUGUAUCCAAAUAUAGCUUCUUACAUAGCGAUUCAUCCUGGUUUGAUCAGAAUGACGAGGAAGUUGUCAUAUUUCCAAAUAGGAAAACUGGGAUCACCUGAUUUGAAAGUGGGAUAACUUCUUCAUCCUAAUUCCUAUGAGAAUUAUUCCACUUCCUGGUGAUUCUCCACUACUUUUUGUAUACAAAUACAGCUUCUUACAUCGCGAUUCAUCCUGGUUUGAUUAGAAUGACGAGGAAGUUGUCAUAUUCCCAAACAGGAAAACUGGGAUCACCUGAUUUGAAAGUGGGAUAACUUCUUCAUCCUAAUUCCUAUGAGAAUUAUUCCACUUCCUGGUGAUUCUCCACUACUUUAUGUAUCCAAAUACAGCUUCUUACAUCGCGAUUCAUCCUGGUUUGAUUAGAAUGACGAGGAAGUUGUCAUAUUCCCAAACAGGAAAACUGGGAUCACCUGAUUUGAAAGUGGGAUAACUUCUUCAUCCUAAUUCCUAUGAGAAUUAUUCCACUUCCUGGUGAUUCUCCACUACUUUAUGUAUCCAAAUACAGCUUCUUACAUCGCGAUUCAUCCUGGUUUGAUUAGAAUGACGAGGAAGUUGUCAUAUUCCCAAACAGGAAAACUGGGAUCACCUGAUUUGAAAGUGGGAUAACUUCUUCAUCCUAAUUCCUAUGAGAAUUAUUCCACUUCCUGGUGAUUCUCCACUACUUUUUGUAUACAAAUACAGCUUCUUACAUCGCGAUUCAUCCUGAUUUGAUUAGAAUGACGAGGAAGUUAUCAUAUUCCCAAACAGGAAAACUGGGAUCACCUGAUUUGAAAGUGGGAUAAUUCUUCAUCCUAAUUCCUAUGAGAAAUAUUUCACUUCCUGGUGAUUCUCCACUACUUUUUGAAUCCAAAUAUAGGUUCUUACAUCCCGAUUCAUCCUGGUUUGAUCAGAAUGACGAGGAAGUUGUCAUAUUCCCAAACAGGAAAACUGGGAUCACCUUAUUUGAAAGUGGGAUAACUUCUUCAUCCUAAUUCCUAUAAGAAUUAUUCCACUUCCUGGUGAUUCUCCACUACUUUUUGUAUACAAAUACAGCUUCUUACAUCGCGAUUCAUCCUGAUUUGAUUAGAAUGACGAGGAAGUUGUCAUAUUCCCAAACAGGAAAACUGGGAUCACCUGAUUUGAAAGUGGGAUAACUUCUUCAUCCUAAUUCCUAAGAAAACUGGGAUCACCUGCUUUGAAAAUGAGAUAACUUCUUCAUCCUAAUUCCUAUGAGAUUUAUUCCACUUCCUGGUGAUUCUCCACUUCUUUAUGUAUCCAAAUACAUUUUCUUACAUCGCGAUUCAUCUUGGUUUGAUUAGAAUGACGAGGAAGUUGUCAUAUUCCCAAACAGGAAAACUAGGAUCACCUGAUUUGAAAGUGGGAUAACUUCUUCAUCCUAAUUCCUGUGAGAUUUAUUCCACUUCCUGGUGAUUCUCCACUUCUUUAUGUAUCCAAAUACAUCUUCUUACAUCGCGAUUAAUCCUGGUUUGAUUAGAAUGACGAGGAAGUUGUCAUAUUCCCAAACAGAAAAACUGGGAUCAUAAUGAGAUCCUAGGACUCUUCUCUGGAUGGUAUGGAUAGAUCCUUGCAUAAACGAAUCAAAGACUCAAGUUUAUCAAGGUUGUGGAUCGAAUGGUGACACAAGAGGCUGCGGAGAGGCUUCUUGAUACUCCUAGGCUUAGAUCGGAUAUGACACACCUUUCUAAAGCCCUUGGGCGUUGGAUAUUACACACCAACAGACUGGAUAUUACACACCAGACACUCUCUUAACUUGUGAAAGCAAGGGAGAAGAAAACACAAAGGUUUAAGUGAAAGAAAACUUGAUAGAUGCUAGGGUUGCCGUCACACACAUAUAUAUAGUGAAAGGCUUGGAACAGGCUCCAAGCAUUUCGAAAUUAAAGGAACAGGCUCCUCCAAUUAAUGUAGAAACAAAGACAUAACUUAGAUAGAGUUUUCGAAAAUAAAAGACAUAAGUACUUAGAAGUAAAAGAUAACAUAAGGUUCUUCAUGUGGUUUGAUCCGAGAGUAUCAACUAGGUGAUAUGAUAGCAAGACUAUGGCCUCGUUAAAAACCUAUCAUUGCAAAACCCAAUGGGACAAAAACAAUGUUAGGAAAAGAGCACACAUAGCUUGCUAGCCUAGAUGAUACUCAGCUUGGUGGUAAGAUGGCUUGAAUGGUGAUAAGUGUAUCUUGAAGUAUCAAGCUUCCUCCAAGACAUUCUUCUUGAUCCAAAGACUUCCUGAUUAGUCCUCCAAUAGCUUCUUUGAGUUUCCUGGCUCUGGCUCGAGUUAUGGGACCUUUAGGAAUGGCUAAGACAUCAUCUUCUUCAGCCGGUUCAUCUCUAAACUCUCCAUCUCUAUCUCCAUAAGCUGGCUGGUCCAUGAUCAUAUCAUCCCCUCCCUCUUGAAAAGGAUUUGACCUCAAAUUAGGUUCAUCUGCAAUAAAAGGGAUCAAGUCAGUAACAUUGAAGCUAUUACUCACAUCAUACUUACCUUGGAGAUCAAUCUUGUAGGCAUUGUUGCUGAUCUUCUUUGUGAUCUCAAAAGGUCCAUCAAUUCUCGGCAUAAGCUUUGACUUCCUCUCAUUAGGAAACCUUUCUUUUCUCAAAUGAACCCAAACUUUGUCACCCUCCUUAAAGACCAUCUCACGCCUUCCUUUGUUGGCAUGCUUGACAUACUGCUUAGUUUUCUCUUCAAUGUUGAGCCUAGCUUGCUCAUGGAGUUGCUUCACCAUCUCUGCCUUCUUGUUGCCAUCCAAACUGACCCUUUCACACUCAGGUAAAGACUUAAGAUGAUCUAUAUGCUCUUUGAUAGUUUAAUGAUGUUAAGAGUAAUCUGAGUGUUUAGAGAAGAUUAGAAUGAGUUUAGAAAAGAUUAAAGUCUGAAAUAAGAUUUGGAGUCUAGAGAGAGUUUUAGAAAGACUAAGAGAGACUCAUAACUUGCUUAAUCUUAUUAAUGAGUGAGGUUACAUAUUUAUAAGAGAGACACAAGGGUUUACAAGAAGGGAACUGAGCACUAUUCAACCGUGUGGAGUCAAGGGCGCCUUUUGAAUGAUUGGUCAGGAUGGCUCACACGCUUAUGGCAUCUUGGACUAAAGGUGCUUCAGCUUUCCAGCCUGUUCCAGCCUGGCACCGCGUUCCCUUAUCCUCUCAACGGUCUGAUCCUCUCCCUAAGCUACCCAAGUCACUCCUCCUUAGUUACCGUCUCACUUGGAUAAGGUAUGGUAAGUUUUGGUUGAGGUUUGGAUGGUACGGCCUUGUACGGCCUAGUACGGCCUGCCGUACCAUACUCUCCCAAACUUCCCUAAGUACUUCAUCUCCUCUUCUCUUCAACUCCUUAUCUCUUCAUCUCCAUAUACUCAGCUCAUCUCAACACUCCCCCUCAAGCUUAGCUUUGUGAAAGACUAAGCUUGGACAGCCAUGAGAUCUUCCUCAUUAAAAACCUCACUAAGGAAAACCCAUUGGGACAAAACCUUAAUGAGGGAAAAAGAGUAAAGAUCUCAUGACUAAGGGGAUCAGCUGCUUCUCUUCCCAAGAUCAAUGAGGCCCAAUCUGAUAUGAAUGGACUCCAUUUUCUUUUGCCUUGCAGCCUUGGUGAAUACAUCAGCCAACUGAUCUUCACUCCUAGUAUAACAUGGCAAGAUGACUCCUAGGACAAUCAUCUGCCUCACCUUGUGGCAAUCAACCUCAAUGUGCUUUGUUCUCUCAUGGAACACCGAGUUGGAGGCUAUGUGAAUGGCGGCCUGGUUGUCACAAUGCAUUGUCAUUGGAGUGUCUUGUGCUAUCUCCAAAUGCUUCAAGAUGCCCUUGAUCCAAACUAGCUCGUUUGUAAGCUUCAGCAUGGCUCUAUAUUCAGCUUCUGCACUAGAGCAUGACACCACCUUCUGUUUCUUACUCUUCCAAGUCACCAAGUUGCCUCCAAUGAAUGUGCAAUAGCCGGUUGUUGAUCUUCUGUCAGCUCUAUCACCUGCCCAAUCAGCAUCACAAUAGCCCACCACUUCUGUGCUUCCAUUGCACCCCAUCCAUACACCUUGAUCCGGCGAGCCAUUUAGAUACAUCAGCAACCUCUCCACCAUACGCCAAUGAUGUUCCUUGGGAAGCUGCAUGUGUUGACUCACCUGAUUCACAGCAAAGCAUAUAUCAGGUCUUGUGAUGGUUAGAUAAAUCAAUUUUCCAACAAGUUUUCUAUAGAGUUUAGGAUCAUGAAAUGGCUUGCUGUCUUCAAUCUCCCCCUCUCUUGGUACUUUGUAGCCAUCCUCCGCUUGCUGUCUUCAAUCUCCCCCUCUCUUGGUACUUUGUAGCCAUCCUCCAUUGGCAUUCUUGCUGUCUUGCCUCCAUAAGCACCUGCAUCUUUCAAAAGAUCAAGUGUAUACUUCCUUUGGGACAUGAACAAACCUUCCUUGGAUCUACAAAUCUCAAUUCCAAGAAAGUAUUUCAUUUCUCCCAAGUCUUUUAUUUCAAACAUAGACUUUAGAAACUCCUUGGUUGCUUUGAUACCUUCUUUAUCACUUCCUGUGAUAAUGAUAUCAUCCACAUACACAAGGAGAGCAACCAUACCUGAGGGUGUAGUAAGGGUAAAGAGAGUAUGGUCCAAUUCUGACUUCCUAAAGCCUCGGCCAUUCAGAGUUGUGCUCAGCUUGUUGUACCAUGCUCUUGGUGAUUGCUUCAGCCCAUAGAUAGCCUUCUUUAACCUCAGUACAUUCCCUCUCUUCACUAGAUGUUCAAGACCUGGUGGAGGAUACAUAUAGACUUCAUCCUCAAGUUCUCCUUGUAGAAAUGCAUUCUUCACAUCCAUUUGCCACAAUCCCCAUCCAAGGUUCACAGCCAAGCUUAAAACAAUUCUAAUUGUGUGUAGCUUGGCUACUGGUGCAAAUGUCUCAAUGUAAUCCUCUCCAUAUGUCUGAGUAAACCCUCUUGCUACUAGUCUAGUUUUCUUCCUCUCAAUCGACCCAUCAGCCUUGUACUUGAUUGUAAAGAUCCAUCUACUAGACACUGCCUUCUUCCCUUUUGGUAGUUCACUCUCAUACCAUGUAUCAUUCUUUAUCAUAGCUCCUGCCUCAGCUCCUACUGAUUCCUUCCACUCCUUAUCCUCCAUUGCCUCUUCAUAGCUUCUUGGAAUGUGAUUCUCAUUCAAGUUUACCAUAAAUGCACAAUGUGCUUCUGGAUAUUGACUGAAAGAACACACGGCCUGAGUAGGAUGCUCCACAGCUUGGGCAUUGUAGUACACUCUCGUGUUUACCCAACUGGAAGGGUCCUUUCUCAGCCUUGUACUUCUUCUUAACAUUGGCCCUUCUUGUGCCAUCUCUUGUUCUUUUUCUUGUGACAACAUUUCGGAUCUUUCUUCUCCUAGCUGACUUGCUUCAGCUCCCUCUUCCCUUAGCUGAUCAUUAGCUUCUUCUUGUUGAUCAUCUGAUUCCACACCUUGAUCAUGAGAGCCAGAACUCUCUUCUCUACUUGUUUCUUCACGCUCAAGGUUUGGAGUUCUUGUUUCAUUCCCCCCUUCAUGCUCAAGGUUGGAAGUCUGAUGAUCCGGUGCUGGAGUUGUGCUUCUCCCCCCCUGAUGUCCUUGGUUCAUGUUGAUUCCAAGCCCUUCUAGGAUCAACCUCAAGGUUUCAGCUCUAUCAGAUGUAAGAUCCUUCAAAUCUUCUUGAAUCUGCUCUUCAUAAUAUCCUUUUUCUUCAACAAACUUUACUUCUCUAGAUACUAACACUCUCCUUGUGUUAGGAUCAUAGCACUUGUAUCCUUUCUGACUUGAUGAGUAUCCAAUGAACAUUGCCUUUGAACUCUUAGCUUCUAGCUUGUUUCUUAUCUCUCCAGGCACCAUCACAAAACACAAACAUCCAAAGAUCUUCAUAUGCUCGAGUGAAGAUUUGUACUGAUUCAAUACCUCAAAUGGUGAUUGUCCUUGAAGGAUCAGAGUUGGUGUCCUGUUGAUGAGAUAACAAGCCGUAGCAACUGCAUCACUCCAAAACUUCUUAGGCACAUUGGAUUGAAACAUCAUGGACCUGGCUACUUCCAUCAAGUGCCUGUUCUUCCUUUCAGCCACACCAUUCUGUUGUGGUGUAUAGGGACAGCUUGUCUGAUGAAGUAUUCCAUGUUGAGAUAGAUGUAGCUUGAAUGCUUGUCCUGUGUACUCUCCUCCAUUAUCUGACCUAAAAAUUUUUAUCUUGGCAUUGUAAUGGUUAGUCACAUAGGCUUGAAAGUUUUUAAAUGCAUCAAGUACCCUAUCUUUGGUUGGGAUUAAAGUUAACCAGGUGUAUUUGGAUUUUUCAUCAAUGAAAGUUACAUAGUACUUAUGAUUGUCUCUAGAAAGGCAAGGUGCAGUCCAAACAUCAGAAUGAAUAAGAUCAAAACAUUUUUCAUAAACAGUAGUAGACUUGGUAAAGACAGUUCUACAAUGCUUGCCUAAGAUGCAAGCUUCACACUCAUUAUUCUCAAAGGAAACACCUGGCAACAUCAGUUUUAAAGCCUUAUUAUGAGGGUGUCCUAAUCUAGCAUGCCACAAUGCAUUUUUACUUAAACUAGAACCAGAAACAGAAGUAAACGAGCAGCUAUAACUAGAAACAGGAGCAAGAUCUUUGAGCAAAUACAAUUCUCCUUUAGUCACUCCCUUUCCAAUCAUCUUGCUGCUUUUAAUAUCCUGAAACUUCACAUCAUUAGGACUGAAUAUGACAUUGCAUUGCAAAUCAGUAGCACAUUUCUUAACAGAUAACAAGUUUGAAGUAAAUUCAGGCAUACAAAAGGCUUUAGUCUCCUUACCAAACAGUUUAAGACUUCCUAUUCCUCUAAUAGGUAUCUUAUCUCCAUUAGCUAUCAUCACAUUACCAUUCAUUGGUACAAUGUCUUUAAUUAAACUAGUGUCACUUAUCAUAUGAUGAGAUGCACCAGAAUCAACUACUAAAGGCUUAAUGGUAUGUGACCUAGCAAUAUGAGCAAGGAUACUAGAUGGUUUGAAUACAUGAUCAUUCCUAGCAAAACUAGCCGUUCUAGAUUGGUUUAACAUCUCAAUCACACUUUCAUGCAUCCUAUCAGUUCUAGUUAGAUUCUCAUCAUUCUCUAUAGCCCUAGCACCAAAGGAAUAAGCAAAUGUGUUACCAUGCUCUUUAAAGAGCUUGAUGAGAGCAUCCAGGUCGGAUCUCCUUAGAUACUCUUGAUCAUAGUUCCCACGGUUGCUUGGGGCUCCAGUGUAGGCUACAAGAGACUUCCCAUCACCUCCUUCACGCCCAUCUAUCUCCUUUCCUUUGCUUGGACCAGCUCCACUCGUUCCAUCUGAUACAUUAGCCCUUGCCUCACGGUCCUUCAUCAACUUUGCCGGUUUGAGAUGUGGGUGAAGGAUCCAGCAUUGACUCUUCUUGUGGCCAUGCUUCUUGCAGUGAUCACAGUUCCCAUUGAACCUCCUCUCCUCAUACUUCCCAUGCGCAGCAGCCUUAUUUGCUUGUGUAGCUUCAUUCCCUUCCUCUUGAGUCGCUUGGCUUGCAAAGGAAAGGUCUCCUUUCUUGGCAAACAACCCAAUGGAGCCUUGCUCCUUCUGAAUCCGCGCACACACAUCCUCAAGGUCAGGUAGAGUGUCUUCUCUAAGCAGGUGCUGGAUGAGACCAUUAUAUGCCGGGUUGAGGGUGAGAAGUAGGCCAAAGACCUUGUCUUGCUCUCUUCUCUUGUUGAGCUCAUCUGCAUCUGUAGUGCUUGGCCUUAACAUCUCCAUCUCGGACCAUAGUGAUCUGAAUCUCCCAAGGUGUUUAGUGAACUCCAUAUCCUCUUGUACCAGGUUGUUAAUCGCUUGCUUCACCUCAAACACCCUGCUCAAGUUUGAUGUAUUCCCAUACACCUUCUUCAGUGUGUCCCACAGUUCCUUAGCAGACUCACAGUAGCUGUAGGCAUCUAAGAUUGCUGGCUCAAGGGAUGCGUGAAGCACUGACAUCACCAGCAUGUCCUCUUGAUACCACUUCUCAGCCGCGUUGCUUGCAGCCUCACCAUCAUCCUCUCCUUGAGUGAUGAGUUUUGGAGCUUCUCCGGGGUUGAUAUGCUUCCACAACCCCUUGCUUCCCACCGUGGUUCUCACCAUCCUUGACCAUACCAAGUAGUUGUUUCCCUUGAAACACACGGCUACCUUCAUGUUCAUGUUCAUCCCACUCUCCAUGUUGAAUGAUGAACUCUCUAAGCUUCAGGAACUCUAUCUUGAGUUGAAUGACUUGUAGAAACCCUCACAGCCUCGAUCUUCAACCCACGCAGCUUCAGAUAACACACCACAACUAGUCUUGAACUUGAAAAGUACCCGGAACCUCUCAAACACCCAAGAACACACAAGAGUUUCUUCAAAGCUUCAAACUUGUAACUUCAAAGAAUCUCACACGACCUCAGGCUCUCACUAACCUGGCUCUGAUACCAUGAUAGUUUUAAUGAUGUUAAGAGUAAUCUGAGUGUUUAGAGAAGAUUAGAAUGAGUUUAGAAAAGAUUAAAGUCUGAAAUAAGAUUUGGAGUCUAGAGAGAGUUUUAGAAAGACUAAGAGAGACUCAUAACUUGCUUGAUUGUAUUAAUGAGAGUGUUUACAACUUUAUAAGAGAAGAGACUAGGGUUUUCGUAGCUAAGAGGAUAAGGUAAGCAUGUGGAGUCAAUAGCCAUUUCAAACUCGUCCAAUGAGGUGAGCCGCGCGUGUGAGCCUUCAUUAGCUGGCUCAUACCUUUUGCUUUUCCGUGUCCAGCUGUGCCAGCCUGUCCAAGACUCUCCCUUAUCCUUUCCAACGGUCUGAUCCAUCCACAAAUGCCAAGGUAACUUCUCCUCUUUACUUAAGUAACUCGGAUAACUUAUGGUGAGGUUUGGUUGAGCUUUGGUCGAUCCUAUCUUGUACGGCCUGUCCUGUCAUGUACGGCCAUGUACGGCCUUGUACGGACAGGCUGAUCCCAAAGCUCCCAAACCUUCCUAUCCUUCCUCUUCUUCAUUCUACUCAACCCUCAUCUCCAUUCUUCACUUGACACUCUUCAUCUCAACACUCCCCCUCAAGCUUAGCUUUGUGAAAGACUAAGCUUGGACAGCCAUGAGAUCUUCCUCAUUAAAAACCUCACUAAGGAAAACCCAUUGGGACAAAACCUUAAUGAGGGAAAAAGAGUAAAGAUCUCAUGACUAAGGGGAUCAGCUGCUUCUCUUCCCAAGAUCAAUGAGGCCCAAUCUGAUAUGAAUGGACUCCUUUGUCUUUUGCCUUGCAGCCUUGGUGAAUACAUCAGCCAACUGAUCUUCACUCCUAGUAUAACAUGGCAAGAUGACUCCUAGGACAAUCAUCUGCCUCACCUUGUGGCAAUCAACCUCAAUGUGCUUUGUUCUCUCAUGGAACACCGAGUUGGAGGCUAUGUGAAUGGCGGCCUGGUUGUCACAAUGCAUUGUCAUUGGAGUGUCUUGUGCUAUCUCCAAAUGCUUCAAGAUGCCCUUGAUCCAAACUAGCUCGUUUGUAAGCUUAAGCAUGGCUCUAUAUUCAGCUUCUGCACUAGAGCAUGACACCACCUUCUGUUUCUUACUCUUCCAAGUCACCAAGUUGCCUCCAAUGAAUGUGCAAUAGCCGGUUGUUGAUCUUCUGUCAGCUCUAUCACCUGCCCAAUCAGCAUCACAAUAGCCCACCACUUCUGUGCUUCCAUUACACCCCAUCCAUACACCUUGAUCCGGCGAGCCAUUUAGAUACAUCAGCAGCCUCUCCACCAUAUGCCAAUGAUGUUCCUUGGGAAGCUGCAUGUGUUGAUUGAUCCGGCGAGCCAUUUAGAUACAUCAGCAACCUCUCCACCAUACGCCAAUGAUGUUCCUUGGGAAGCUGCAUGUGUUGUCUCACCUGAUUCACAGCAAAGCAUAUAUCAGGUCUUGUGAUGGUUAGAUAAAUCAAUUUUCCAACAAGUUUUCUAUAGAGUUUAGGAUCAUGAAAUGGCUUGCUGUCUUCAAUCUCCCCCUCUCUUGGUACUUUGUAGCCAUCCUCCAUUGGCAUCCUUGCUGUCUUGCCUCCAUAAGCACCUGCAUCUUUCAAAAGAUCAAGUGUAUACUUCCUUUGGGACAUGAACAAACCUUCCUUGGAUCUACAAAUCUCAAUUCCAAGAAAGUAUUUCAUUUCUCCCAAGUCUUUUAUUUCAAACAUAGACUUUAGAAACUCCUUGGUUGCUUUGAUACCUUCUUUAUCACUUCCUGUGAUAAUGAUAUCAUCCACAUACACAAGGAGAGCAACCAUACCUGAGGGUGUAGUAAGGGUAAAGAGAGUAUGGUCCAAUUCUGACUUCCUAAAGCCUCGGCCAUUCAGAGUUGUGCUCAGCUUGUUGUACCAUGCUCUUGGUGAUUGCUUCAGCCCAUAGAUAGCCUUCUUUAACCUCAGUACAUUCCCUCUCUUCACUAGAUGUUCAAGACCUGGUGGAGGAUACAUAUAGACUUCAUCCUCAAGUUCUCCUUGUAGAAAUGCAUUCUUCACAUCCAUUUGCCACAAUCCCCAUCCAAGGUUCACAACCAAGCUUAAAACAAUUCUAAUUGUGUGUAGCUUGGCUACUGGUGCAAAUGUCUCAAUGUAAUCCUCUCCAUAUGUCUGAGUAAACCCUCUUGCUACUAGUCUAGUUUUCUUCCUCUCAAUCGACCCAUCAGCCUUGUACUUGAUUGUAAAGAUCCAUCUACUAGACACUGCCUUCUUCCCUUUUGGUAGUUCACUCUCAUACCAUGUAUCAUUCUUUAUCAUAGCUCCUGCCUCAGCUCCUACUGAUUCCUUCCACUCCUUAUCCUCCAUUGCCUCUUCAUAGCUUCUUGGAAUGUGAUUCUCAUUCAAGUUUACCAUAAAUGCACAAUGUGCUUCUAGAUAUUGACUGAAAGAACACACGGCCUGAGUAGGAUGCUCCACAGCUUGGGCAUUGUAGUACACUCUCGUGUUUACCCAACUGGAAGGGUCCUUUCUCAGCCUUGUACUUCUUCUUAACAUUGGCCCUUCUUGUGCCAUCUCUUGUUCUUCUUCUUGUGACAACAUUUCGGAUCUUUCUUCUCCUAGCUGACUUGCUUCAGCUCCCUCUUCCCUUAGCUGAUCAUUAGCUUCUUCUUGUUGAUCAUCUGAUUCCACAGCUUGAUCAUGAGAGCCAGAACUCUCUUCUCUACUUGUUUCUUCACGCUCAAGGUUUGGAGUUCUUGUUUCAUUCCCCCCUUCAUGCUCAAGGUUGGAAGUCUGAUGAUCCGGUGCUGGAGUUGUGCUUCUCCCCCCCUGAUGUCCUUGAUUCAUGUUGAUUCCAAGCCCUUCUAGGAUCAACCUCAAGGUUUCAGCUCUAUCAGAUGUAAGAUCCUUCAAAUCUUCUUGAAUCUGCUCUUCAUAAUAUCCUUUUUCUUCAACAAACUUUACUUCUCUAGAUACUAACAUUCUCCUUGUGUUAGGAUCAUAGCACUUGUAUCCUUUCUGACUUGAUGAGUAUCCAAUGAACAUUGCCUUUGAACUCUUAGCUUCUAGCUUGUUUCUUAUCUCUCCAGGCACCAUCACAAAACACAAACAUCCAAAGAUCUUCAUAUGCUCGAGUGAAGGUUUGUACUGAUUCAAUACCUCAAAUGGUGAUUGUCCUUGAAGGAUCAGAGUUGGUGUCCUGUUGAUGAGAUAACAAGCCGUAGCCCUCAAAUGGUGAUUGUCCUUGAAGGAUCAGAAUUGGUGUCCUGUUGAUGAGAUAACAAGCCGUAGAAACUGCAUCACUCCAAAACUUCUUAGGCACAUUGGAUUGAAACAUCAUGGACCUGGCUACUUCCAUCAAGUGCAUGUUCUUCCUUUCAGCCACACCAUUCUGUUGUGGUGUAUAGGGACAGCUUGUCUGAUGAAGUAUUCCAUGUUGAGAUAGAUGUAGCUUGAAUGCUUGUCCCGUGUACUCUCCUCCAUUAUCUGACCUAAAAAUUUUUAUCUUGGCAUUGUAAUGGUUAGUCACAUAGGCUUGAAAGUUUUUAAAUGCAUCAAGUACCCUAUCUUUGGUUGGAAUUAAAGUUAACCAGGUGUAUUUGGAUUUUUCAUCAAUGAAAGUUACAUAGUACUUAUGAUUGUCUCUAGAAAGGCAAGGUGCAGUCCAAACAUCAGAAUGAAUAAGAUCAAAACAUUUUUCAUAAACAGUAGUAGACUUGGUAAAGACAGUUCUACAAUGCUUGCCUAAGAUGCAAGCUUCACACUCAUUAUUCUCAAAGGAAACACCUGGAAACAUCAGUUUUAAAGCCUUAUUAUGAGGGUGUCCUAAUCUAGCAUGCCACAAUGCAUUUUUACUUAAACUAGAACCAGAAACAGAAGUAAACGAGCAGCUAUAACUAGAAACAGGAGCAAGAUCUUUGAGUAAAUACAAUUCUCCUUUAGUCACUCCCUUCCCAAUCAUCUUGCUGCUUUUAAUAUCCUGAAACUUCACAUCAUUAGGACUGAAUAUGACAUUGCAUUGCAAAUCAGUAGCACAUUUCUUAACAGAUAACAAGUUUGAAGUAAAUUCAGGCAUAUAAAAGGCUUUAGUCUCCUUACCAAACAGUUUAAGACUUCCUAUUCCUCUAAUAGGUAUCUUAUCUCCAUUAGCUAUCAUCACAUUACCAUUCAUUGGUACAAUGUCUUUAAUUAAACUAGUGUCACUUAUCAUAUGAUGAGAUGCACCAGAAUCAACUACUAAAGGCUUAAUGGUAUGUGAACUAGCAAUAUGAGCAAGGAUACUAGAUGGUUUGAAUACAUGAUCAUUCCUAGCAAAACUAGCCGUUCUAGAUUGGUUUAACAUCUCAAUCACACUUUCAUGCAUCCUAUCAGUUCUAGUUAGAUUCUCAUCAUUCUCUAUAGCCCUAGCACCAAAGGAAUAAGCAAAUGUGUUACCAUGCUCUUUAAAGAGCUUGAUGAGAGCAUCCAGGUCGGAUCUCCUUAGAUACUCUUGAUCAUAGUUCCCACGGUUGCUUGGGGCUCCAGUGUAGGCUACAAGAGACUUCCCAUCACCUCCUUCACGCCCAUCUAUCUCCUUUCCUUUGCUUGGACCAGCUCCACUCGUUCCAUCUGAUACAUUAGCCCUUGCCUCACGGUCCUUCAUCAACUUUGCCGGUUUGAGAUGUGGGUGAAGGAUCCAGCAUUGACUCUUCUUGUGGCCAUGCUUCUUGCAGUGAUCACAGUUCCCAUUGAACCUCCUCUCCUCAUACUUCCCAUGCGCAGCAGCCUUAUUUGCUUGUGUAGCUUCAUUCCCUUCCUCUUGAGUCGCUUGGCUUGCAAGGGAAAGGUCUCCUUUCUUGGCAAACAACCCAAUGGAGCCUUGCUCCUUCUGAAUCCGCGCACACACAUCCUCAAGGUCAGGUAGAGUGUCUUCUCUAAGCAGGUGCUGGAUGAGACCAUUAUAUGCCGGGUUGAGGGUGAGAAGUAGGCCAAAGACCUUGUCUUGCUCUCUUCUCUUGUUGAGCUCAUCUGCAUCUGUAGUGCUUGGCCUUAACAUCUCCAUCUCGGACCAUAGUGAUCUGAAUCUCCCAAGGUGUUUAGUGAACUCCAUAUCCUCUUGUACCAGGUUGUUAAUCGCUUGCUUCACCUCAAACACCCUGCUCAAGUUUGAUGUAUUCCCAUACACCUUCUUCAGUGUGUCCCACAGUUCCUUAGCAGACUCACAGUAGCUGUAGGCAUCUAAGAUUGCUGGCUCAAGGGAUGCGUGAAGCACUGACAUCACCAGCAUGUCCUCUUGAUACCACUUCUCAGCCGCGUUGCUUGCAGCCUCACCAUCAUCCUCUCCUUGAGUGAUGAGUUUUGGAGCUUCUCCGGGGUUGAUAUGCUUCCACAACCCCUUGCUUCCCACCGUGGUUCUCACCAUCCUUGACCAUACCAAGUAGUUGUUUCCCUUGAAACACACGGCUACCUUCAUGUUCAUGUUCAUCCCACUCUCCAUGUUGAAUGAUGAACUCUCUAAGCUUCAGGAACUCUAUCUUGAGUUGAAUGACUUGUAGAAACCCUCACAGCCUCGAUCUUCAACCCACGCAGCUUCAGAUAACACACCACAACUAGUCUUGAACUUGAAAAGUACCCGGAACCUCUCAAACACCCAAGAACACACAAGAGUUUCUUCAAAGCUUCAAACUUGUAACUUCAAAGAAUCUCACACGACCUCAGGCUCUCACUAACCUGGCUCUGAUACCAUGAUAGUUUUAAUGAUGUUAAGAGUAAUCUGAGUGUUUAGAGAAGAUUAGAAUGAGUUUAGAAAAGAUUAAAGUCUGAAAUAAGAUUUGGAGUCUAGAGAGAGUUUUAGAAAGACUAAGAGAGACUCAUAACUUGCUUGAUUGUAUUAAUGAGAGUGUUUACAACUUUAUAAGAGAAGAGACUAGGGUUUUCGUAGCUAAGAGGAUAAGGUAAGCAUGUGGAGUCAAUAGCCAUUUCAAACUCGUCCAAUGAGGUGAGCUGCGCGUGUGAGCCUUCAUUAGCUGGCUCAUACCUUUUGCUUUUCCGUGUCCAGCUGUGCCAGCCUGUCCAAGACUCUCCCUUAUCCUUUCCAACGGUCUGAUCCAUCCACAAAUGCCAAGGUAACUUCUCCUCUUUACUUAAGUAACUCGGAUAACUUAUGGUGAGGUUUGGUUGAGCUUUGGUCGAUCCUAUCUUGUACGGCCUGUCCUGUCAUGUACGGCCAUGUACGGCCUUGUACGGACAGGCUGAUCCCAAAGCUCCCAAACCUUCCUAUCCUUCCUCUUCUUCAUUCUACUCAACCCUCAUCUCCAUUCUUCACUUGACACUCUUCAUCUCAACAUGUAUGAGAUCAAGAAAGCUAUCAACACACUGGUACAAGAUGGAGAGGAGUUCACCAAGCAUUUGGGCAAGUAUAGAUCCUUGUGGUCUGAGCUUGAAUCGUUGAGGCCAAGCACUAAUGAUCAAGAGCUACUCACGGAGAGGAGGGAGCAGGAUCAGGUGUUUGGUUUGCUGUUGACGUUGGAUCCUCCAUUCAACGAUGUGAUCAAGCACAUGUUGAGGAUGCCAAAUCUCCCAUCUAUGGAGGAAGUGUGUGCGCAACUUCAGAAGGAGGAAGGGUCACUUGGUCUCUUUGGGAGCAAGGGAGACUUAGCUCUAGCCAACAAGGCUGAGGAAGGAGCACAAGCUAACCGUGCAGCAUACAAGACUGAUGAGAGGAAGUAUGGUGAUGAGAGGAGGUUUGGAGGCAAUUGUGAUCACUGCAAGAAGUUGGGACACAAGAGGAGCCAAUGCUGGAUCCUUCACCCCCAUCUCAAGCUGGCCAAAUUCAACAAAGACCGAGAAGCCAGAGCUAACCUGUCUACUGAAGCAAGUGAGUCCGGUCCAUCAGGAGCAGGCUCAAGUGCACAAGUGGGUGAAAGCGCAGGAAAGGCAAUGGUAACUCACUACACGGCCGCAAAGAGUUUGGAGCAUGAAGUGAUUCGCAAAUCUGACAUUGAUGCCCUCAUCAAAGCUCUUAAGGAGUCUGGUACAUUCGGAAACACUCUUGGUUAUUCUUACACUGCUCAUAUGAUGCCUAGGAAUGAGAAUAGGUUGAUAGAUAUCAUUGAGGAAUUAAAACUGAGAAAUGAAUCACCUAGAACUCAUCUAGCUAGAGGCAUAAAACUAUUGAUUGUUGACUCUGGUGCAUCUCAUCACAUGAUCAGUGAUGAUAGCUUGAUUAAAAACAUAGAACCUGCUCAUGGACAUGUAAUGAUUGCAAAUGGAGAUAGAAUUCCCAUUAAAGGUGUAGGAGACUUAAAGCUAUUUGAUAAGAACUCUAAAGCAUUUUACAUGCCUGAUUUCACUUCUAAUCUCUUAUCUGUUAAAAGAUGUACCAAUGAUCUACAAUGCAAUGUUAUCUUUAGUCCUAACAAUGUGACAUUUCAGGAUAUUGAGAGCAAUAAGUUGAUUGGACAAGGAGUAACCAAGGGAGAUCUUUAUGUACUUGAAGAUAUUAAUCCCAUUUCUAGUUGUUUGUUGAGUUCUGUUUUAAGUAAAGGUGCAUUAUGGCAUUCUAGGCUAGGACAUCCACAUGUUAGAGCCUUAAGCUUAAUGUUACCAGGUGUCAUGUUUAAAAAUAAUGAUUGUGAGGCUUGUAUUUUGGGAAAACAUUGUAAGACUGUGUUUAAAAGAUCUACUACUAUCUAUGAUAAGUGUUUUGAUCUUGUUCACUCUGAUGUUUGGACUGCUCCCUGCUUAUCUAGAGAUAAUUACAAGUACUUUGUCACAUUUAUAGAUGAAAAAUCUAAGUACACCUGGAUAACACUCAUUAAAACAAAGGAUAGGGUUCUUGAUGCAUUUAAAAACUUCCAAGCUUAUAUAUCUAACCAGUAUAAUGCCAAGAUUAAGAUUUUCAGGUCUGAUAAUGGUGGAGAAUAUACUGGUAAUGCUUUCAAGAGUCAUCUAGCUCACCAUGGGAUUCUACAUCAGACAAGUUGUCCAUACACUCCUCAACAGAAUGGUGUAGCCGAGAGAAAGAAUAGACACCUAAUGGAGGUGGCAAGGUCUAUGAUGUUUCACACAAGUGUGCCUAAAAGAUUCUGGAGUGAUGCUGUGAUCUCGGCUUGUUAUCUGAUCAAUAGGAUACCAACCAAGAUCUUGGAGGAUCAGGCACCUUAUGAAGUUCUAAACAGAAACAAACCUGUGCUGGAUCACUUAAGAGUCUUUGGAUGUGUGUGCUUUGUACUCGUACCCAGGGAGCUAAGGAAUAAGCUAGAAGCAAAGAGCACAAGAGCCAUGUUCAUUGGCUACUCAACAUCACAAAAGGGAUAUAAAUGCUAUGAUUCAGAAGCCAGGAGAGUUCUUGUGUCUAGAGAUGUUAAGUUCUUGGAGGAUAAGAGCUUUUAUGGAGAUAGAAAGUGGGAAGAUCUUGAAGAUUUGUCUCAACCAGAUGAUAGAGCUACAAGUCUUAGGCGUGUACUAGAAGGACUUGGAAUCAACAUGUCCCAGGAUCAGCAACCAACCAAGGAGAAUGAAGCUGAAGAACCAUCACACCAUGAUCAUGAAGGGGGAAAUGAGACUGAGCCUGAAGAUCAUGAAGAUCAAGACUCAGAUAGUCAUGGUCAAGGUGUGAUACAAAGCGAGGAAGAAGUCAUUCAAGAAGUGGAACCAGAUGAAGUAGAAGGGGAAGCAGUUCAGCCUACGGUGGUGGAGGUGGAACCAGUUCCAUUAAGGAGAAGCACACGGUUGAAGAAGGAUGUUUCCAACUGGGUAAACACGAGAGUGUACUACAAUGCUCAGGCUGUGAAGCAUCCCUCUCAGGCUGUGUGUUCUUUUGCUAGUUACCCAAAGGAACAUUGCGCUUUCAUUACAAGCUUAGAUGGAAGUAGUGUACCAAGAUCAUAUGAAGAAGCAAUGCUACAUGAAGAUUGGAAAGAAUCAGUGGGUGAUGAAGCUAAUGCUAUGAUAAAGAAUGAUACUUGGUUUGAAAGUGAGUUGCCAAAAGGGAAGAAGGCUGUAACAAGCAAGUGGAUAUUCACUAUCAAGUAUCUACCUGAUGGAACCAUUGAGAGGAAGAAGACAAGAUUGGUGGCUAGAGGAUACACUCAAACAUAUGGGGAAGACUACAUUGAUACCUUUGCUCCUGUUGCCAAGCUACAUACUAUAAGGAUUGUAUUGUCUCUUGCUGUGAACCUUGAGUGGGAGCUUUGGCAGAUGGAUGUGAAGAAUGCCUUUCUUCAAGGAGAGCUAGAGGAUGAAGUAUAUAUGCAUCCACCACCAGGCCUAGAGCAUCUUGUGAAACCUGGAAAUGUAUUGAGACUCAAGAAGGCUAUCUAUGGAUUGAAGCAAUCUCCUAGAGCAUGGUACAACAAAUUGAGCACUACCUUAAACGGACGGGGGUUCAAGAAGUCUGAACUAGAUCACACUCUAUUCACUCUCACUACACCCUCAGGUAUCAUUUGCCUACUUGUAUAUGUUGAUGACAUUAUAAUAACCGGUAGUGAUAAGGCUGGUAUAAAAGCCACAAAGGAGUUUUUGAAAUCUGUAUUUGAAAUCAAAGACUUAGGAGAAAUGAAAUACUUCCUUGGAAUUGAGUUGUGUAGAUCUAAGGAAGGAUUGUUCAUUUCCCAAAGGAAGUAUACACUUGAUCUUUUGAAAGAUGCAGGUAUACAAGGAGAUAAGACAGCAAAGAUGCCCCUUGAAGAUGGAUACAAGAUUCCACGUGAGGGGGAGGUUGAAGAUAGCAAGGCCUUUCAUGAUCCAAAGCUAUACAGGAAGCUGGUAGGGAAGCUCAUCUAUCUCACUAUCACAAGACCAGACAUAUGCUUUGCUGUGAAUCAAGUGAGCCAGCAUAUGCAAGUCCCAAAGGAACAUCACUGGCACAUGGUGGAGAGACUUCUCUUGUAUCUGAACGGGACAUCAAGCCUUGGAGUAUGGAUGGGAUGCAACAAGAGUACUGAAGUGGUGGGAUAUUGUGACGCUGAUUGGGCUGGAGAUAGAGCAGACAGAAGAUCAACCACCGGCUAUUGUACAUUCAUUGGAGGCAACUUGGUGACUUGGAAGAGCAAGAAGCAGAAGGUGGUAUCGUGUUCAAGUGCUGAAGCUGAGUAUAGAGCAAUGCUGAAGCUUACAAAUGAGUUGGUAUGGAUUAAAGGGAUCUUGAAGCAUUUGGAGAUAGAGCAAGUGACUCCAAUGACUAUGCACUGUGAUAAUCAAGCGGCUAUACACAUUGCAACCAACUCAGUCUUCCAUGAGAGAACCAAGCACAUUGAAGUUGAUUGUCACAAGGUGAGGCAGAUGAUUGUCUUGGGAGUAAUCCUGCCAUGCUAUACGAGGAGUGAGGAUCAACUUGCGGAUGUGUUCACCAAGGCAACAAGACAAAAGACUAUGGAGUCCAUUCACAUCAGAUUGGGACUCAUAGAUCUUACACCAUGGAGCUGAUCCCCUUAGCCAUGAGCUCUUCACUCUUUUUCCCUCAUCAAAGUUUUGUCCCAAUGGGUUUUCUUUGGUGAGGUUUUUAAUGAGGAAGAUCUCAUGGUUGUUCCAAGCUUAACUAAGUUACUAAGUUAAGCUUGAGGGGGAGUGUUGAAAUGAGUUGAACAAUAUAUGAGAAGAUAGCUUAAGGAGUUGGGAAUGAGAUAAUGUGAAGGCAAAGAGAAGGAAAGCUUGGGAGUGAUCAGACCGUACAAGGCCGUACCGGCCGUAGCAUCCGUACGGUCCGGAUCAAUCCACAAAGAGAAGGAAAGCUUGGGAGUGAUCAGACCGUACAAGGCCGUACCGGCCGUACCAUCCGUACGGUCCGGAUCAAUCUGCCACUCGACCAAGAGGAGAAGUUACCGCGUGAAAGAAGUAAACGGCCAAAGGAGUUUUACCUUAGGGGAGAUGACCGUUUGGAUGGAUAGAGUGACUGAGCCUUAUCCACACAGGCUGGAACAGGCUGUAAAGGCAAAAGGAACCUGGUCCAAGAUGCCAAAAACAUGUGACAGCUCCCAUUGGAUCAAGUUUGAAUUAAAGCAACCUUAUCCUUGACCUCACAUGCUUAGUCUCUCUGAAACCCUUGUAUCUGAUCCUAUAUAUUGUAAACUCUGUCUUGAUUAAUAAAUAACACGAGUUUAUGAGUAUCUCUCUCUAGUUCAUCAUGAUAAUCUCAUACACUUUCUCUUAAACACUCUAAUCUCUCUUGAAUCUCUCUUAGACUUCUCAAUACCUUUCUUAUUCUCUAAAAUCAUACUAGGAGUUGGCAAGAAGAAGUUAUCCCACUUUCAAAUCAGGUGAUUCCAGUUUCCCAGUUUGGGAAUAGCACAGCUUCUUCGUCGUUCCAAUCAAACCAAGAUGAAUCACUUUGUGAGAAGCUUGAUUUGGAUACAACUGGAUAAAGUAGUUCAUCAUGAUAAUCUCAUACACUUUCUCUUAAACACUCUAAUCUCUCUUGAAUCUCUCUUAGACUUCUCAAUACCUUUCUUAUUCUCUAAAAUCAUAUGGUAUCAGAGCCAGGUUGGCUGUGGUAUUGAAAUCUUGUGUUCUUCAGCUUCAGAUAAACGUUCUUUCUUGUGAGAUUCUAAACAAAGUUCAAGCAAAUCAAGAUGGGAGGAAACAAGGUUAUUUCGGUUCCGAUUUCACUCAAGGGUGGGGGAAACUACCUGUUGUGGUCUAGGCUUGUGAAGACAGCCAUUGGGAGGCUAGGGUUAUGGGAUCACAUCACAGAUGGAGCCCCAGCACCAGUGGCCAGUGAGCAAGAAGGUGGAAGAGAGCUCGCGGUUGCUGAUGGAAAGAAGUGGAUUCAAGAUGACUUGAUGGUACUAUCUGUGCUGCAAGGAUCACUUGAAGAACAUCUCUUGGAAGCCUACAGCUACUGCGAGACUCCAAAACACCUGUGGGAGGUACUCCAAAAGACUUUUGGGAACGUUACCAAUCUGAGCCGUGUGUAUUGAUAGUUUUAAUGAUGUUAAGAGUAAUCUGAGUGUUUAGAGAAGAUUAGAAUGAGUUUAGAAAAGAUUAAAGUCUGAAAUAAGAUUUGGAGUCUAGAGAGAGUUUUAGAAAGACUAAGAGAGACUCAUAACUUGCUUGAUUGUAUUAAUGAGAGUGUUUACAACUUUAUAAGAGAAGAGACUAGGGUUUUCGUAGCUAAGAUGAUAAGGUAAGCAUGUGGAGUCAAUGGCCAUUUCAAACUCGUCCAAUGAGGUGAGCCGCGCGUGUGAGCCUUCAUUAGCUGGCUCAUACCUUUUGCUUUUCCGUGUCCAGCUGUGCCAGCCUGUCCAAGACUCUCCCUUAUCCUUUCCAACGGUCUGAUCCAUCCACAAAUGCCAAGGUAACUUCUCCUCUUUACUUAAGUAACUCCGAUAACUUAUGGUGAGGUUUGGUUGAGCUUUGGUCGAUCCUAUCUUGUACGGCCUGUCCUGUCAUGUACGGCCAUGUACGGCCAUGUACGGCCUUGUACGGACAGGCUGAUCCCAAAGCUCCCAAACCUUCCUAUCCUUCCUCUUCUUCAUUCUACUCAACCCUCAUCUCCAUUCUUCACUUGACACUCUUCAUCUCAACACUCCCCCUCAAGCUUAGCUUUGUGAAAGACUAAGCUUGGACAGCCAUGAGAUCUUCCUCAUUAAAAACCUCACUAAGGAAAACCCAUUGGGACAAAACCUUAAUGAGGGAAAAAGAGUAAAGAUCUCAUGACUAAGGGGAUCAGCUGCUUCUCUUCCCAAGAUCAAUGAGGCCCAAUCUGAUAUGAAUGGACUCCUUUGUCUUUUGCCUUGCAGCCUUGGUGAAUACAUCAGCCAACUGAUCUUCACUCCUAGUAUAACAUGGCAAGAUGACUCCUAGGACAAUCAUCUGCCUCACCUUGUGGCAAUCAACCUCAAUGUGCUUUGUUCUCUCAUGGAACACCGAGUUGGAGGCUAUGUGAAUGGCGGCCUGGUUGUCACAAUGCAUUGUCAUUGGAGUGUCUUGUGCUAUCUCCAAAUGCUUCAAGAUGCCCUUGAUCCAAACUAGCUCGUUUGUAAGCUUAAGCAUGGCUCUAUAUUCAGCUUCUGCACUAGAGCAUGACACCACCUUCUGUUUCUUACUCUUCCAAGUCACCAAGUUGCCUCCAAUGAAUGUGCAAUAGCCGGUUGUUGAUCUUCUGUCAGCUCUAUCACCUGCCCAAUCAGCAUCACAAUAGCCCACCACUUCUGUGCUUCCAUUACACCCCAUCCAUACACCUUGAUCCGGCGAGCCAUUUAGAUACAUCAGCAGCCUCUCCACCAUAUGCCAAUGAUGUUCCUUGGGAAGCUGCAUGUGUUGACUCACCUGAUUCACAGCAAAGCAUAUAUCAGGUCUUGUGAUGGUUAGAUAAAUCAAUUUUCCAACAAGUUUUCUAUAGAGUUUAGGAUCAUGAAAUGGCUUGCUGUCUUCAAUCUCCCCCUCUCUUGGUACUUUGUAGCCAUCCUCCAUUGGCAUCCUUGCUGUCUUGCCUCCAUAAGCACCUGCAUCUUUCAAAAGAUCAAGUGUAUACUUCCUUUGGGACAUGAACAAACCUUCCUUGGAUCUACAAAUCUCAAUUCCAAGAAAGUAUUUCAUUUCUCCCAAGUCUUUUAUUUCAAACAUAGACUUUAGAAACUCCUUGGUUGCUUUGAUACCUUCUUUAUCACUUCCUGUGAUAAUGAUAUCAUCCACAUACACAAGGAGAGCAACCAUACCUGAGGGUGUAGUAAGGGUAAAGAGAGUAUGGUCCAAUUCUGACUUCCUAAAGCCUCGGCCAUUCAGAGUUGUGCUCAGCUUGUUGUACCAUGCUCUUGGUGAUUGCUUCAGCCCAUAGAUAGCCUUCUUUAACCUCAGUACAUUCCCUCUCUUCACUAGAUGUUCAAGACCUGGUGGAGGAUACAUAUAGACUUCAUCCUCAAGUUCUCCUUGUAGAAAUGCAUUCUUCACAUCCAUUUGCCACAAUCCCCAUCCAAGGUUCACAACCAAGCUUAAAACAAUUCUAAUUGUGUGUAGCUUGGCUACUGGUGCAAAUGUCUCAAUGUAAUCCUCUCCAUAUGUCUGAGUAAACCCUCUUGCUACUAGUCUAGUUUUCUUCCUCUCAAUCGACCCAUCAGCCUUGUACUUGAUUGUAAAGAUCCAUCUACUAGACACUGCCUUCUUCCCUUUUGGUAGUUCACUCUCAUACCAUGUAUCAUUCUUUAUCAUAGCUCCUGCCUCAGCUCCUACUGAUUCCUUCCACUCCUUAUCCUCCAUUGCCUCUUCAUAGCUUCUUGGAAUGUGAUUCUCAUUCAAGUUUACCAUAAAUGCACAAUGUGCUUCUAGAUAUUGACUGAAAGAACACACGGCCUGAGUAGGAUGCUCCACAGCUUGGGCAUUGUAGUACACUCUCGUGUUUACCCAACUGGAAGGGUCCUUUCUCAGCCUUGUACUUCUUCUUAACAUUGGCCCUUCUUGUGCCAUCUCUUGUUCUUCUUCUUGUGACAACAUUUCGGAUCUUUCUUCUCCUAGCUGACUUGCUUCAGCUCCCUCUUCCCUUAGCUGAUCAUUAGCUUCUUCUUGUUGAUCAUCUGAUUCCACAGCUUGAUCAUGAGAGCCAGAACUCUCUUCUCUACUUGUUUCUUCACGCUCAAGGUUUGGAGUUCUUGUUUCAUUCCCCCCUUCAUGCUCAAGGUUGGAAGUCUGAUGAUCCGGUGCUGGAGUUGUGCUUCUCCCCCCCUGAUGUCCUUGAUUCAUGUUGAUUCCAAGCCCUUCUAGGAUCAACCUCAAGGUUUCAGCUCUAUCAGAUGUAAGAUCCUUCAAAUCUUCUUGAAUCUGCUCUUCAUAAUAUCCUUUUUCUUCAACAAACUUUACUUCUCUAGAUACUAACAUUCUCCUUGUGUUAGGAUCAUAGCACUUGUAUCCUUUCUGACUUGAUGAGUAUCCAAUGAACAUUGCCUUUGAACUCUUAGCUUCUAGCUUGUUUCUUAUCUCUCCAGGCACCAUCACAAAACACAAACAUCCAAAGAUCUUCAUAUGCUCGAGUGAAGGUUUGUACUGAUUCAAUACCUCAAAUGGUGAUUGUCCUUGAAGGAUCAGAAUUGGUGUCCUGUUGAUGAGAUAACAAGCCGUAGAAACUGCAUCACUCCAAAACUUCUUAGGCACAUUGGAUUGAAACAUCAUGGACCUGGCUACUUCCAUCAAGUGCAUGUUCUUCCUUUCAGCCACACCAUUCUGUUGUGGUGUAUAGGGACAGCUUGUCUGAUGAAGUAUUCCAUGUUGAGAUAGAUGUAGCUUGAAUGCUUGUCCCGUGUACUCUCCUCCAUUAUCUGACCUAAAAAUUUUUAUCUUGGCAUUGUAAUGGUUAGUCACAUAGGCUUGAAAGUUUUUAAAUGCAUCAAGUACCCUAUCUUUGGUUGGAAUUAAAGUUAACCAGGUGUAUUUGGAUUUUUCAUCAAUGAAAGUUACAUAGUACUUAUGAUUGUCUCUAGAAAGGCAAGGUGCAGUCCAAACAUCAGAAUGAAUAAGAUCAAAACAUUUUUCAUAAACAGUAGUAGACUUGGUAAAGACAGUUCUACAAUGCUUGCCUAAGAUGCAAGCUUCACACUCAUUAUUCUCAAAGGAAACACCUGGAAACAUCAGUUUUAAAGCCUUAUUAUGAGGGUGUCCUAAUCUAGCAUGCCACAAUGCAUUUUUACUUAAACUAGAACCAGAAACAGAAGUAAACGAGCAGCUAUAACUAGAAACAGGAGCAAGAUCUUUGAGUAAAUACAAUUCUCCUUUAGUCACUCCCUUCCCAAUCAUCUUGCUGCUUUUAAUAUCCUGAAACUUCACAUCAUUAGGACUGAAUAUGACAUUGCAUUGCAAAUCAGUAGCACAUUUCUUAACAGAUAACAAGUUUGAAGUAAAUUCAGGCAUAUAAAAGGCUUUAGUCUCCUUACCAAACAGUUUAAGACUUCCUAUUCCUCUAAUAGGUAUCUUAUCUCCAUUAGCUAUCAUCACAUUACCAUUCAUUGGUACAAUGUCUUUAAUUAAACUAGUGUCACUUAUCAUAUGAUGAGAUGCACCAGAAUCAACUACUAAAGGCUUAAUGGUAUGUGAACUAGCAAUAUGAGCAAGGAUACUAGAUGGUUUGAAUACAUGAUCAUUCCUAGCAAAACUAGCCGUUCUAGAUUGGUUUAACAUCUCAAUCACACUUUCAUGCAUCCUAUCAGUUCUAGUUAGAUUCUCAUCAUUCUCUAUAGCCCUAGCACCAAAGGAAUAAGCAAAUGUGUUACCAUGCUCUUUAAAGAGCUUGAUGAGAGCAUCCAGGUCGGAUCUCCUUAGAUACUCUUGAUCAUAGUUCCCACGGUUGCUUGGGGCUCCAGUGUAGGCUACAAGAGACUUCCCAUCACCUCCUUCACGCCCAUCUAUCUCCUUUCCUUUGCUUGGACCAGCUCCACUCGUUCCAUCUGAUACAUUAGCCCUUGCCUCACGGUCCUUCAUCAACUUUGCCGGUUUGAGAUGUGGGUGAAGGAUCCAGCAUUGACUCUUCUUGUGGCCAUGCUUCUUGCAGUGAUCACAGUUCCCAUUGAACCUCCUCUCCUCAUACUUCCCAUGCGCAGCAGCCUUAUUUGCUUGUGUAGCUUCAUUCCCUUCCUCUUGAGUCGCUUGGCUUGCAAGGGAAAGGUCUCCUUUCUUGGCAAACAACCCAAUGGAGCCUUGCUCCUUCUGAAUCCGCGCACACACAUCCUCAAGGUCAGGUAGAGUGUCUUCUCUAAGCAGGUGCUGGAUGAGACCAUUAUAUGCCGGGUUGAGGGUGAGAAGUAGGCCAAAGACCUUGUCUUGCUCUCUUCUCUUGUUGAGCUCAUCUGCAUCUGUAGUGCUUGGCCUUAACAUCUCCAUCUCGGACCAUAGUGAUCUGAAUCUCCCAAGGUGUUUAGUGAACUCCAUAUCCUCUUGUACCAGGUUGUUAAUCGCUUGCUUCACCUCAAACACCCUACUCAAUUUUGAUGUAUUCCCAUACACCUUCUUCAGUGUGUCCCACAGUUCCUUAGCAGACUCACAGUAGCUGUAGGCAUCUAAGAUUGCUGGCUCAAGGGAUGCGUGAAGCACUGACAUCACCAGCAUGUCCUCUUGAUACCACUUCUCAGCCGCGUUGCUUGCAGCCUCACCAUCAUCCUCUCCUUGAGUGAUGAGUUUUGGAGCUUCUCCGGGGUUGAUAUGCUUCCACAACCCCUUGCUUCCCACCGUGGUUCUCACCAUCCUUGACCAUACCAAGUAGUUGUUUCCCUUGAAACACACGGCUACCUUCAUGUUCAUGUUCAUCCCACUCUCCAUGUUGAAUGAUGAACUCUCUAAGCUUCAGGAACUCUAUCUUGAGUUGAAUGACUUGUAGAAACCCUCACAGCCUCGAUCUUCAACCCACGCAGCUUCAGAUAACACACCACAACUAGUCUUGAACUUGAAAAGUACCCGGAACCUCUCAAACACCCAAGAACACACAAGAGUUUCUUCAAAGCUUCAAACUUGUAACUUCAAAGAAUCUCACACGACCUCAGGCUCUCACUAACCUGGCUCUGAUACCAUGAUAGUUUUAAUGAUGUUAAGAGUAAUCUGAGUGUUUAGAGAAGAUUAGAAUGAGUUUAGAAAAGAUUAAAGUCUGAAAUAAGAUUUGGAGUCUAGAGAGAGUUUUAGAAAGACUAAGAGAGACUCAUAACUUGCUUGAUUGUAUUAAUGAGAGUGUUUACAACUUUAUAAGAGAAGAGACUAGGGUUUUCGUAGCUAAGAGGAUAAGGUAAGCAUGUGGAGUCAAUAGCCAUUUCAAACUCGUCCAAUGAGGUGAGCUGCGCGUGUGAGCCUUCAUUAGCUGGCUCAUACCUUUUGCUUUUCCGUGUCCAGCUGUGCCAGCCUGUCCAAGACUCUCCCUUAUCCUUUCCAACGGUCUGAUCCAUCCACAAAUGCCAAGGUAACUUCUCCUCUUUACUUAAGUAACUCGGAUAACUUAUGGUGAGGUUUGGUUGAGCUUUGGUCGAUCCUAUCUUGUACGGCCUGUCCUGUCAUGUACGGCCAUGUACGGCCAUGUACGGCCUUGUACGGACAGGCUGAUCCCAAAGCUCCCAAACCUUCCUAUCCUUCCUCUUCUUCAUUCUACUCAACCCUCAUCUCCAUUCUUCACUUGACACUCUUCAUCUCAACAUGUAUGAGAUCAAGAAAGCUAUCAACACACUGGUACAAGAUGGAGAGGAGUUCACCAAGCAUUUGGGCAAGUAUAGAUCCUUGUGGUCUGAGCUUGAAUCGUUGAGGCCAAGCACUAAUGAUCAAGAGCUACUCACGGAGAGGAGGGAGCAGGAUCAGGUGUUUGGUUUGCUGUUGACGUUGGAUCCUCCAUUCAACGAUGUGAUCAAGCACAUGUUGAGGAUGCCAAAUCUCCCAUCUAUGGAGGAAGUGUGUGCGCAACUUCAGAAGGAGGAAGGGUCACUUGGUCUCUUUGGGAGCAAGGGAGACUUAGCUCUAGCCAACAAGGCUGAGGAAGGAGCACAAGCUAACCGUGCAGCAUACAAGACUGAUGAGAGGAAGUAUGGUGAUGAGAGGAGGUUUGGAGGCAAUUGUGAUCACUGCAAGAAGUUGGGACACAAGAGGAGCCAAUGCUGGAUCCUUCACCCCCAUCUCAAGCUGGCCAAAUUCAACAAAGACCGAGAAGCCAGAGCUAACCUGUCUACUGAAGCAAGUGAGUCCGGUCCAUCAGGAGCAGGCUCAAGUGCACAAGUGGGUGAAAGCGCAGGAAAGGCAAUGGUAACUCACUACACGGCCGCAAAGAGUUUGGAGCAUGAAGUGAUUCGCAAAUCUGACAUUGAUGCCCUCAUCAAAGCUCUUAAGGAGUCUGGUACAUUCGGAAACACUCUUGGUUAUUCUUACACUGCUCAUAUGAUGCCUAGGAAUGAGAAUAGGUUGAUAGAUAUCAUUGAGGAAUUAAAACUGAGAAAUGAAUCACCUAGAACUCAUCUAGCUAGAGGCAUAAAACUAUUGAUUGUUGACUCUGGUGCAUCUCAUCACAUGAUCAGUGAUGAUAGCUUGAUUAAAAACAUAGAACCUGCUCAUGGACAUGUAAUGAUUGCAAAUGGAGAUAGAAUUCCCAUUAAAGGUGUAGGAGACUUAAAGCUAUUUGAUAAGAACUCUAAAGCAUUUUACAUGCCUGAUUUCACUUCUAAUCUCUUAUCUGUUAAAAGAUGUACCAAUGAUCUACAAUGCAAUGUUAUCUUUAGUCCUAACAAUGUGACAUUUCAGGAUAUUGAGAGCAAUAAGUUGAUUGGACAAGGAGUAACCAAGGGAGAUCUUUAUGUACUUGAAGAUAUUAAUCCCAUUUCUAGUUGUUUGUUGAGUUCUGUUUUAAGUAAAGGUGCAUUAUGGCAUUCUAGGCUAGGACAUCCACAUGUUAGAGCCUUAAGCUUAAUGUUACCAGGUGUCAUGUUUAAAAAUAAUGAUUGUGAGGCUUGUAUUUUGGGAAAACAUUGUAAGACUGUGUUUAAAAGAUCUACUACUAUCUAUGAUAAGUGUUUUGAUCUUGUUCACUCUGAUGUUUGGACUGCUCCCUGCUUAUCUAGAGAUAAUUACAAGUACUUUGUCACAUUUAUAGAUGAAAAAUCUAAGUACACCUGGAUAACACUCAUUAAAACAAAGGAUAGGGUUCUUGAUGCAUUUAAAAACUUCCAAGCUUAUAUAUCUAACCAGUAUAAUGCCAAGAUUAAGAUUUUCAGGUCUGAUAAUGGUGGAGAAUAUACUGGUAAUGCUUUCAAGAGUCAUCUAGCUCACCAUGGGAUUCUACAUCAGACAAGUUGUCCAUACACUCCUCAACAGAAUGGUGUAGCCGAGAGAAAGAAUAGACACCUAAUGGAGGUGGCAAGGUCUAUGAUGUUUCACACAAGUGUGCCUAAAAGAUUCUGGAGUGAUGCUGUGAUCUCGGCUUGUUAUCUGAUCAAUAGGAUACCAACCAAGAUCUUGGAGGAUCAGGCACCUUAUGAAGUUCUAAACAGAAACAAACCUGUGCUGGAUCACUUAAGAGUCUUUGGAUGUGUGUGCUUUGUACUCGUACCCAGGGAGCUAAGGAAUAAGCUAGAAGCAAAGAGCACAAGAGCCAUGUUCAUUGGCUACUCAACAUCACAAAAGGGAUAUAAAUGCUAUGAUUCAGAAGCCAGGAGAGUUCUUGUGUCUAGAGAUGUUAAGUUCUUGGAGGAUAAGAGCUUUUAUGGAGAUAGAAAGUGGGAAGAUCUUGAAGAUUUGUCUCAACCAGAUGAUAGAGCUACAAGUCUUAGGCGUGUACUAGAAGGACUUGGAAUCAACAUGUCCCAGGAUCAGCAACCAACCAAGGAGAAUGAAGCUGAAGAACCAUCACACCAUGAUCAUGAAGGGGGAAAUGAGACUGAGCCUGAAGAUCAUGAAGAUCAAGACUCAGAUAGUCAUGGUCAAGGUGUGAUACAAAGCGAGGAAGAAGUCAUUCAAGAAGUGGAACCAGAUGAAGUAGAAGGGGAAGCAGUUCAGCCUACGGUGGUGGAGGUGGAACCAGUUCCAUUAAGGAGAAGCACACGGUUGAAGAAGGAUGUUUCCAACUGGGUAAACACGAGAGUGUACUACAAUGCUCAGGCUGUGAAGCAUCCCUCUCAGGCUGUGUGUUCUUUUGCUAGUUACCCAAAGGAACAUUGCGCUUUCAUUACAAGCUUAGAUGGAAGUAGUGUACCAAGAUCAUAUGAAGAAGCAAUGCUACAUGAAGAUUGGAAAGAAUCAGUGGGUGAUGAAGCUAAUGCUAUGAUAAAGAAUGAUACUUGGUUUGAAAGUGAGUUGCCAAAAGGGAAGAAGGCUGUAACAAGCAAGUGGAUAUUCACUAUCAAGUAUCUACCUGAUGGAACCAUUGAGAGGAAGAAGACAAGAUUGGUGGCUAGAGGAUACACUCAAACAUAUGGGGAAGACUACAUUGAUACCUUUGCUCCUGUUGCCAAGCUACAUACUAUAAGGAUUGUAUUGUCUCUUGCUGUGAACCUUGAGUGGGAGCUUUGGCAGAUGGAUGUGAAGAAUGCCUUUCUUCAAGGAGAGCUAGAGGAUGAAGUAUAUAUGCAUCCACCACCAGGCCUAGAGCAUCUUGUGAAACCUGGAAAUGUAUUGAGACUCAAGAAGGCUAUCUAUGGAUUGAAGCAAUCUCCUAGAGCAUGGUACAACAAAUUGAGCACUACCUUAAACGGACGGGGGUUCAAGAAGUCUGAACUAGAUCACACUCUAUUCACUCUCACUACACCCUCAGGUAUCAUUUGCCUACUUGUAUAUGUUGAUGACAUUAUAAUAACCGGUAGUGAUAAGGCUGGUAUAAAAGCCACAAAGGAGUUUUUGAAAUCUGUAUUUGAAAUCAAAGACUUAGGAGAAAUGAAAUACUUCCUUGGAAUUGAGUUGUGUAGAUCUAAGGAAGGAUUGUUCAUUUCCCAAAGGAAGUAUACACUUGAUCUUUUGAAAGAUGCAGGUAUACAAGGAGAUAAGACAGCAAAGAUGCCCCUUGAAGAUGGAUACAAGAUUCCACGUGAGGGGGAGGUUGAAGAUAGCAAGGCCUUUCAUGAUCCAAAGCUAUACAGGAAGCUGGUAGGGAAGCUCAUCUAUCUCACUAUCACAAGACCAGACAUAUGCUUUGCUGUGAAUCAAGUGAGCCAGCAUAUGCAAGUCCCAAAGGAACAUCACUGGCACAUGGUGGAGAGACUUCUCUUGUAUCUGAACGGGACAUCAAGCCUUGGAGUAUGGAUGGGAUGCAACAAGAGUACUGAAGUGGUGGGAUAUUGUGACGCUGAUUGGGCUGGAGAUAGAGCAGACAGAAGAUCAACCACCGGCUAUUGUACAUUCAUUGGAGGCAACUUGGUGACUUGGAAGAGCAAGAAGCAGAAGGUGGUAUCGUGUUCAAGUGCUGAAGCUGAGUAUAGAGCAAUGCUGAAGCUUACAAAUGAGUUGGUAUGGAUUAAAGGGAUCUUGAAGCAUUUGGAGAUAGAGCAAGUGACUCCAAUGACUAUGCACUGUGAUAAUCAAGCGGCUAUACACAUUGCAACCAACUCAGUCUUCCAUGAGAGAACCAAGCACAUUGAAGUUGAUUGUCACAAGGUGAGGCAGAUGAUUGUCUUGGGAGUAAUCCUGCCAUGCUAUACGAGGAGUGAGGAUCAACUUGCGGAUGUGUUCACCAAGGCAACAAGACAAAAGACUAUGGAGUCCAUUCACAUCAGAUUGGGACUCAUAGAUCUUACACCAUGGAGCUGAUCCCCUUAGCCAUGAGCUCUUCACUCUUUUUCCCUCAUCAAAGUUUUGUCCCAAUGGGUUUUCUUUGGUGAGGUUUUUAAUGAGGAAGAUCUCAUGGUUGUUCCAAGCUUAACUAAGUUACUAAGUUAAGCUUGAGGGGGAGUGUUGAAAUGAGUUGAACAAUAUAUGAGAAGAUAGCUUAAGGAGUUGGGAAUGAGAUAAUGUGAAGGCAAAGAGAAGGAAAGCUUGGGAGUGAUCAGACCGUACAAGGCCGUACCGGCCGUAGCAUCCGUACGGUCCGGAUCAAUCCACCACUCGACCAAGAGGAGAAGUUACCGCGUGAGAUAGCUUAAGGAGUUGGGAAUGAGAUAAUGUGAAGGCAAAGAGAAGGAAAGCUUGGGAGUGAUCAGACCGUACAAGGCCGUACCGGCCGUACCAUCCGUACGGUCCGGAUCAAUCUGCCACUCGACCAAGAGGAGAAGUUACCGCGUGAAAGAAGUAAACGGCCAAAGGAGUUUUACCUUAGGGGAGAUGACCGUUUGGAUGGAUAGAGUGACUGAGCCUUAUCCACACAGGCUGGAACAGGCUGUAAAGGCAAAAGGAACCUGGUCCAAGAUGCCAAAAACAUGUGACAGCUCCCAUUGGAUCAAGUUUGAAUUAAAGCAACCUUAUCCUUGACCUCACAUGCUUAGUCUCUCUGAAACCCUUGUAUCUGAUCCUAUAUAUUGUAAACUCUGUCUUGAUUAAUAAAUAACACGAGUUUAUGAGUAUCUCUCUCUAGUUCAUCAUGAUAAUCUCAUACACUUUCUCUUAAACACUCUAAUCUCUCUUGAAUCUCUCUUAGACUUCUCAAUACCUUUCUUAUUCUCUAAAAUCAUACUAGGAGUUGGCAAGAAGAAGUUAUCCCACUUUCAAAUCAGGUGAUUCCAGUUUCCCAGUUUGGGAAUAGCACAGCUUCUUCGUCGUUCCAAUCAAACCAAGAUGAAUCACUUUGUGAGAAGCUUGAUUUGGAUACAACUGGAUAAAGUAGUUCAUCAUGAUAAUCUCAUACACUUUCUCUUAAACACUCUAAUCUCUCUUGAAUCUCUCUUAGACUUCUCAAUACCUUUCUUAUUCUCUAAAAUCAUAUGGUAUCAGAGCCAGGUUGGCUGUGGUAUUGAAAUCUUGUGUUCUUCAGCUUCAGAUAAACGUUCUUUCUUGUGAGAUUCUAAACAAAGUUCAAGCAAAUCAAGAUGGGAGGAAACAAGGUUAUUUCGGUUCCGAUUUCACUCAAGGGUGGGGGAAACUACCUGUUGUGGUCUAGGCUUGUGAAGACAGCCAUUGGGAGGCUAGGGUUAUGGGAUCACAUCACAGAUGGAGCCCCAGCACCAGUGGCCAGUGAGCAAGAAGGUGGAAGAGAGCUCGCGGUUGCUGAUGGAAAGAAGUGGAUUCAAGAUGACUUGAUGGUACUAUCUGUGCUGCAAGGAUCACUUGAAGAACAUCUCUUGGAAGCCUACAGCUACUGCGAGACUCCAAAACACCUGUGGGAGGUACUCCAAAAGACUUUUGGGAACNNNNNNNNNNNNNNNNNNNNNNNNNNNNNNNNNNNNNNNNNNNNNNNNNNNNNNNNNNNNNNNNNNNNNNNNNNNNNNNNNNNNNNNNNNNNNNNNNNNNNNNNNNNNNNNNNNNNNNNNNNNNNNNNNNNNNNNNNNNNNNNNNNNNNNNNNNNNNNNNNNNNNNNNNNNNNNNNNNNNNNNNNNNNNNNNNNNNNNNNNNNNNNNNNNNNNNNNNNNNNNNNNNNNNNNNNNNNNNNNNNNNNNNNNNNNNNNNNNNNNNNNNNNNNNNNNNNNNNNNNNNNNNNNNNNNNNNNNNNNNNNNNNNNNNNNNNNNNNNNNNNNNNNNNNNNNNNNNNNNNNNNNNNNNNNNNNNNNNNNNNNNNNNNNNNNNNNNNNNNNNNNNNNNNNNNNNNNNNNNNNNNNNNNNNNNNNNNNNNNNNNNNNNNNNNNNNNNNNNNNNNNNNNNNNNNNNNNNNNNNNNAUACUCCAACGGUCUCUUGAAGUGUCUAUCCUGGAGGCAUACAGCUACUGUGAGACAGCAAAGGAUCUUUGGGACACGCUAAAGAAGGUUUAUGGUAACAUCUCAAACUUGAGCCGUGUGUUUGAAGUGAAACGUGCUAUCAACAGCUUGACACAGGAGGACAUGGAGUUUACUAAGCAUCUUGGGAGGUUCAGAGCCUUGUGGUCUGAACUGGAGAUGCUGAGGCCAGGCACAACCAACCUAGAUGAGCUGGCUGAGAGACGUGAGCAAGACAAGGUGUUUGGGUUGCUACUCACGUUGAAUCCAAGCUACAACAGCCUCAUCAAACACAUCCUGAGGUCCGGGAAGUUACCUGACCUUGAGGACGUGUGUGCACAAGUUCAGAAGGAGGAAGGUUCUAUUGGUCUCUUUGGAGGAAAAGGAGAGAUCACACUUGCAAACCAAGCUGAGGUUCCGCAAGCAAACCGUGCAAGCUCUAACCAGUAUGAUGCAAAGAAGUUCACGGGAAAUUGUGAUCAUUGCAAGAGACAAGGUCACAAGAAGAACCAGUGCUGGAUCUUGCAUCCUCAUCUGAAGCCGGCCAAGUUCUCAAGAGAAAAAGAUGGGAGAGCCAAUGUCUCGUAUGCUGGAAGUGAUCCGGGAAGUUCAAGUGUUGCUGGGAGCUCAGGCCAAGCUGGAGAGGGCGGGACACGUGAGCCUGGAGAUAGCAAGGCCCUGGUGACUUACACACCUCAGCCAAGCCUUCAGAACAACCGUGAGAACGAGUACCUAAGGAGAUCAGACAUUGACUCCCUCAUCAAAAUGCUAAAGGAGAAUGGUAACACACUUGGUACUCUUGGUUACUCCUUUGGUGCAUCAUAUGAAUCGUGUAGUAUUGCUAGAGAACCUGAUCAUUCAAGCAUUGCUUAUAAACCUACUAGCAUACUAGGACAGUCUCAUAUUGCACACAAUCUGUUUAAACCAUUGGUAGUUGAUUCAGGAGCUUCUCAUCAUAUGAUUAGUGAUACUAGUUUGAUUAGAGACAUUGAACCUACAAAUGGACAUGUCAUGAUUGCAAAUGGAGAUAAAAUCCCAAUUAGAGGAAUUGGCAAGCUAAAAUUGUUUGAUAAAGACUCUAAAGCAUUUUAUAUGCCUGACUUCACAUCAAAUCUAUUAUCUGUAAAGAAGUGUACUACAGAUCUUAAUUGCAAUGUUAUAUUUAGUCCUAAUGAUGUGAAGUUUCAGGAUAUUGAGAGCAGCCAAUUGAUUGGAAAAGGAGUUACCAAGGGAGAUUUAUAUUUACUUGAAGAACUAGCUCCUGUUUCUGAUUACUUAUGCUCAUUUACUUCUGCUUCUAUGAUGAAUAAAAAUGCAUUGUGGCAUGCUAGACUAGGUCAUCCCCAUGUUAGGGCUUUAAACUUAAUGUUACCAGGUGUGGUAUUUGAAAAUAAGGAUUGUGAAGCUUGCAUUUUAGGCAAGCAUUGUAAAACUGUGUUUCCCAUUUCAUCUACUGUUUAUGACAAAUGCUUUGAUCUAAUUCACUCUGAUGUUUGGACUGCUCCUUGCUUGUCUAGGGAUAGUUUUAAAUACUUUGUCACAUUCAUAGAUGAAAAAUCGAAAUACACCUGGAUAACACUUAUUCAAACCAAAGAUAGGGUGCUUGAAGCUUUUAAGAAUUUUCAUAACUAUGUGACUAACCAUUACAAUGCCAAGAUUAAAAUUUUGAGAUCAGAUAAUGGUGGGGAAUACACUGGUCAAGCCUUCAAGCAACAUCUAGCACAACAUGGGAUACUACACCAAACGAGUUGUCCUUAUACUCCUCAGCAAAAUGGAGUGGCUGAGAGAAAGAAUAGGCAUCUCAUGGAGGUGGCAAGGUCAAUUAUGUUUCAAGCAAAUGUUCCUAAGAGGUUUUGGAGUGAUGCUGUGGCUACAUCUUGUUAUCUAAUCAACCGGAUCCCAACUAAGAUUCUACAUGAUCAGUCUCCUUUUGAAGCCUUGAACAAGUACAAGCCAUCAUUGGAGCAUAUGCGAAUCUUUGGAUGUCUAUGCUUUGUCCUUAUGCCAAAAGAGUUGAGAAACAAGCUUGAAGCAACCAGCACAAGAGCUAUGUUUGUUGGCUACUCUACUACUCAAAAGGGUUACAAGUGCUAUGAUCCUACUACUCGAAGAGUUCUAGUCUCUAGAGAUGUAAAGUUCAUUGAAGCUAAGGGGUUCUAUGAGGAAAAGAAUCAAGAUGAGCUGCUAGAGUUGACAAGAGAGUCAGAUAGAGCGGCCAGCCUUAGAAGUAUUCUAGAGGGGCUUGGGAUACAUACUACCCAGGAUCCGAAGGAGAGACGCAGUACAACAACCAUGUUGAGAUGAGCUGAGUAUAUGGAGAUGAAGAGAGAAGGAGUUGAAGAGAAGAGGAGAUGAAGUACUUAGGGAAGUUUGGGAGAGUAUGGUACGGUAGGAGAUGAAGUACUUAGGGAAGUUUGGGAGAGUAGGGUACGGUAGGCCGUACAAGGCCGUACAAGGCCGUACCAUCCAAACCUCAACCAAAACUUACCAUACCUUAUCCAAGUGAGACGGUAACUAAGGAGGAGUGACUUGGGUAGCUUAGGGAGAGGAUCAGACCGUUGAAAGGAUAAGGGGACGCGGUGCCAGGCUGGAACAGGCUGGAAAGCUAAAGCACCUUUAGUCCAAGAUGCCAUAAGCGUGUGAUGCAUCCUAGUGGUUGAUUUGAAUCCAUUGCCUUGACUACACACGGCUCAAUAGUGCUCAUUUCCCUUCUUGUAAACCCUUGUGUUCCUCUUAUAAAUAUGUAACCUCACUCAUUAAUAAGAUUAAGAAAGUUACGAGUCUCUCUCUUAGUCUUUACUCUCAACAUGAUUCGAUCCUAGACUUCUAAUCUCAUUUCAUACUCAAAUCUCUUCUAAAUCACUUCUAGUCUUUCUUAUUUACUCAGAUUACUCUACUCAAUCCUAAAAGUGAUAUGGUAUCAGAGCCAGGUUCAUAGGAAACUUGGUUUCGUUGAGUUCUUUAAAAAUUCAAGAUUGAAGCUUUGAAGAGACAGUUUGGUGUUCGUGUGUUCUUAAGCGGUUCUGGGUAGUCUUUCUGAGUUCUAUUGGUUGUGUGAGGUGUUAUUGAAGCUGUGUGGUGUUCGCUCAAGACAAGUUACCUCAAGAGAAAGUUAUUGAAGUCUAAAGGGUUCUACAUUCAACAUGGAGAGUGGGAUGAACAUGAACAUGAAAGUGGCGGUGUGUUUCAAGGGAAACAACUACUUGGUGUGGUCUCGGAUGGUGAGAACCACAGUGGGAAGCAAGGGGCUUUGGAAACACAUCACGCCAGGAGAAGCUCCAAAGCUCAUCACUCAAGGAGAGGCUGAAGAUGAAGCCGCAAGCAAGGCAGAAGAGAAGUGGCAUCAAGAGGACAUGUUGGUGAUGUCUGUGCUCCAUGCGUCCCUUGAGCCGGCUAUUCUGGAUGCAUACAGCUACUGUGAGUCUGCUAAAGAGCUGUGGGAUACUUUGAAGAAGGUGUAUGGCAACACUUCAAACCUAAGCCGAGUGUUUGAGGUGAAGCAAGCUAUCAACAACCUUGUACAAGAAGACAUGGAGUUCACUAAGCAUCUAGGAAGAUUCAGAAGCCUCUGGUCCGAGAUGGAGAUGCUUAGGCCAAGCACAACGGAUGCUGAUGAGCUUAACAAGAGGAGAGAGCAAGAUAAGGUCUUUGGGUUACUCCUCACCCUAAACCCGGCGUACAACGGUCUCAUCCAGCACUUACUUAGGGAGGAUACUCUACCUGACCUUGAGGAUGUGUGUGCACGGAUUCAGAAGGAGCAAGGCUCCAUUGGGCUGUUUGGGAAGAAAGGAGAUCUUUCCCUUGCAAGUCAAGCAACUCAAGAGGAGGGGAGUGAAGCUCCACAAGCAAACAAGGCUGCGCAUGGGAAGUUUGAGGAGAGGAGGUUCAAUGGGAGUUGUGAUCACUGCAAGAAGCAUGGUCACAAGAAGAGCCAAUGCUGGAUACUCCACCCUCACCUCAAGCCGGCUAAGUUCAUGAAGGAUCGUGAGGCAAGGGCUAAUGUCUCGGAUGGUACAAGUGGUGUUGGUACAAGCAAAGGAAAGGAGAUAGAUGGGCGUGAGGCAGGUGAUGGGAAGUCUCUUGUAGCCUACACUGGAGCACCAAGCAACCGUGGGAACAAUGAUCAAGAGUAUCUAAGGAGAUCCGACCUUGAUGCUCUCAUUAAGUUGUUCAAGGAGAAUGGUAACACAUUUGGGUAUUCAUUUGGUGCUAGUGUAGUAGAGAACUAUAAGAAUCUAACUAGAACUGAUAGGAUGCAUAAGAGCUUGAUAGAAAUGGUAAAUCAAUCUAGGAUUGCAAACUUUGCUAGAAAUGAUCAUACAUUCAAACCAUCUAGUAUCCUUGCACAUAUUGCUAGUUCUCAUGACAUUAAGCCAUUAGUGAUUGAUUCAGGAGCAUCUCAUCAUAUGAUAAGUGAUACUAGUUUGAUUAAAAACAUUGUACCAAUGAAUGGAAAUGUGAUGAUUGCUAAUGGAGAUAAGAUUCCUAUUAGAGGAAUAGGAAGUCUUAAACUGUUUGAUAAGGAAACUAAAGCCUUUUAUAUGCCUGAAUUUACUUCAAACUUGUUAUCUGUUAAGAAAUGUGCUACUGAUUUACAAUGCAAUGUUAUAUUCAGUCCUAAUGAUGUGAAGUUUCAGGAUAUUAAAAGCAGCAAGAUGAUUGGAAAGGGAGUGACUAAAGGAGAACUAUAUUUACUUGAAGAUCUCACUCCUGUUUCUAGAUAUAGCUGCUCGUUUACUUCUGUUUCUGGUUCUAGUUUAAGUAAAAAUGCAUUGUGGCAUGCUAGAUUAGGACACCCUCAUAAUAAGGCUUUAAAACUGAUGUUGCCAGGUGUUUCCUUUGAGAAUAAUGAGUGUGAAGCUUGCAUCUUAGGCAAGCAUUGUAGAACUGUCUUUACCAAGUCCACUACUGUUUAUGAAAAAUGUUUUGAUCUCAUUCAUUCUGAUGUUUGGACUGCACCUUGCCUGUCUAGAGAUAGCCAUAAGUACUAUGUAACUUUCAUUGAUGAAAAAUCCAAAUACACCUGGUUAACCUUAAUUCCAACCAAAGAUAGGGUACUUGAUGCAUUUAAAAACUUUCAAACCUAUGUAACUAACCAUUACAAUGCCAAGAUAAAGAUUUUUAGGUCAGAUAAUGGAGGAGAGUACACAGGACAAGCAUUCAAACUACACCUAUCUCAGCAUGGAAUCCUUCAUCAGACAAGCUGUCCCUAUACCCCACAACAGAAUGGUGUGGCUGAGAGGAAGAACAGGCAUUUGAUGGAAGUAGCCAGGUCUAUGAUGUUUCAAUCUAACGUGCCUAAGAAGUUUUGGAGUGAUGCAGUUGCUACGGCUUGUUAUCUCAUCAACAGGACACCAACUCUGAUUCUUCAAGGACGAUCACCAUUUGAGGUACUGAAUCAGUACAAACCCUCUCUAGAGCAUAUGAAGAUCUUUGGAUGUUUGUGUUUUGUGAUGGUGCCUGGAGAGAUAAGAAACAAGCUAGAAGCUAAGAGUUCAAAGGCAAUGUUUAUUGGAUAUUCAUCAAGUCAGAAAGGAUACAAGUGCUAUGAUCCUAACACAAGGAGAGUGUUAGUAUCUAGAGAAGUGAAGUUUGUUGAAGAAAAAGGAUACUAUGAGGAGCAGACUCAAGAUGAUUUGAGAGAUCUCACUUCUGAUAGAGCUGAAACAUUGAGGAUUAUCCUAGAGGGUCUUGGAAUCAACAUGAAUCAAGGAGGAAGAAGCACUACUCCAGUACCGGAUCAUCAGACCUCCAAUCUUGACCAUGAGGGGGGGAAUGAAACAAGAACUCAAAACCAUGAAGAGACAAGUAGAGAAGAGAGUUCUGGUUCUCAUGAUCAAGCUGAGGAAUCAAAUGAUCAACAAGGAGCUGAAGAGAGUCAGCUAAGGGAAGAAGGAGCUGAAGCAAGUCAGCUAGGAGAAGAAAGAUCUGAACCAAGUGUACUGCCACAAGAAGAAGAACAAGAGAUUGCGCAAGAAGGGCCAGUGUUGAGAAGAAGUACAAGGCUGAGAAAGGAUCCUUCCAGUUGGGUAAACACAAGAGUGUACUACAAUGCCCAAGCUGUGAAGCAUCCUACUCAGGCCGUGUGUUCUUUUGCUAAAUAUCCAGAAGCACAUUGUGCAUUCAUGGUAAACUUAGAUGAGAAUCACAUUCCAAGAAGCUAUGAAGAGGCAAUGAAGGAUAAGGAAUGGAAGGAAUCAGUAGGAGCUGAGGCAGGAGCUAUGAUCAAAAAUGAUACAUGGUAUGAGAGUGAACUACCAAAAGGGAAGAAGGCAGUAUCUAGCAGAUGGAUCUUCACAAUCAAAUACAAGGCUGAUGGGCAGAUUGAGAGGAAGAAGACUAGAUUAGUAUUAGAUUUAGUGAUUUAAAGAGUGAUGAAGUUUAAUCUGAGAAUUAAAGAGAUUGGAGAUUAAGAACAAGAGAGAGAGAGACUCAAAACUCCAUUAGCUUGAUUAAUGAGAGAGUUUACAACAUAUAUAGAUAAGAGAUACAUAUUUUCGUGAUGGUUCAGUCUAGUUAGGAUAAGAAGCAUGUGUAGUCAAAGAUGCCUCAUUCAAACCAGCCAAUAAGGUUCCUCACAUGCUUGGGCAUCUUGCUUUAGCUUUCCAGCCUGUGCCAGCCUGUCUAAAGCUCUCUUCCCUUGACCAGACCUUAUCCAAACUCCUCCUUGCUUAUCCAGACUCCCCAUGUCGUGUUCCACUCUCCAAAUGGAUGCAAGGUAACUUCUCAAGUCUUUUAACUUAGUUACCACAGUAACAAUAAAGUUACUGUGGUAAAUCUCCAAAGUUACUACCUGCUCCAAAUCCCUUCAUCUAUCCAUGUAUCAACUCUUCAUCUCCUCAUCUCAACACUUUAUUCUCUUAUCUCAACACUCCCCCUCAAGCUUGACCAUGUGAAACAAGUCAAGCUUGGAAGAACCAUGAGAUCUCCCUCAUUAAAACCUCAUUAAGGAAAACCCAUUGGGACAAAACCUUAAUGAGGAAAGAGUAGAGAUCACAUGAUCAGGAGAGUGUAUAGACUAGUCCUUAGGCGAGAGAUCAAUGAGUCCUAACCUGAUGUGUAUGGACUCCAUUGUCUUUUGCCUUGCUGCCUUUGUGAACACAUCUGCUAACUGAUCCUCACUCCGAGUAUAACAAGGUAGAAUCACCCCAAGAAUCAUCAUCUGCCUCACCUUGUGACAAUCAACCUCAAUGUGCUUUGUUCUCUCAUGGAACACAGAAUUAGAUGCAAUGUGGAUAGCUGCUUGAUUAUCACAAUGCAUUGUCAUUGGCGUUGCUUGAAUAAUCUCCAGAUGCUUCAAAAUCCCUUUUAUCCACACUAGCUCAUUUGUAAGCUUCAGCAUUGCUCUAUACUCGGCCUCAGCACUGGAGCAAGACACUACCUUCUGCUUCUUACUCUUCCAAGUGACCAAGUUACCACCAAUGAAUGUACAAUAGCCUGUGGUUGAUCUUCUGUCUGCUCGGUCUCCAGCCCAAUCUGCAUCACAAUAGCCUACAACCUCAGUACUCUUGUUACAUCCCAUCCAUACUCCAAGACCAGUAGUUCCAUUCAGAUACAUCAAGAUCCUUUCCACCAUCUGCCAAUGGUGCUCCUUAGGAACUUGCAUGUGUUGACUGACUUGAUUCACCGCAAAACACACAUCAGGUCUAGUAAUGGUGAGAUAAAUCAACUUCCCCACCAGCUUCCUAUAUAGCUUAGGAUCAUGGAACGGCUUGCUAUCCUCAAUCUCCCCCUCACGUGGAACCUUGUAACCAUCCUCCAUUGGCAUCUUGGCUGUCUUUCCUCCAUAGGCAUCUGCUCCCUUCAAGAGAUCAAUCACAUACUUCCUUUGGGACAUAAACAAUCCUUCCUUUGAUCUGCAUAUCUCAAUCCCAAGAAAAUACUUCAUUUCCCCUAAGUCUUUAAUCUCAAAGUUUGCCUUGAGAUACUCCUUUGUAUCCUUGAUGCUUUCCUUAUCACUGCCUGUGAUGAUAAUAUCAUCCACAUACACAAGCAACACCACAAUACCAGAUGAGGUGGUUAGGGUAAAGAGAGUGUGAUCCAAUUCUGACUUUCUGAACCCUCUCCCAUUCAGUGUAGUACUCAACUUGUUGUACCACGCCCUUGGAGACUGCUUGAGACCAUAGAUAGCUUUCCUCAACCUCAACACAUUACCCUUCUUUACUAGAUGUUCAAGGCCUGGUGGUGGAUGCAUGUAUACUUCAUCUUCCAACUCUCCUUGAAGGAAUGCAUUCUUCACAUCCAUUUGCCACAACUCCCACUCAAGAUUCACAGCUAAAGAUAAUACAAUCCUGAUAGUAUGAAGUUUAGCCACAGGAGCAAAGGUCUCAACAUAGUCCUCACCAUAUGUCUGAGUAAAUCCUCUUGCCACCAACCUAGACUUGCGCCUCUCUAUUCUCCCAUCAGGAUGAAACUUGAUUGUGAACACCCAUUUACUAGUCACUGCCUUCUUCCCUUUAGGCAGCUCACUUUCAUACCACGUUUCAUUCUUGAUCAUGGCUCCAGACUCAUCAGCAACUGACUCUCUCCACUCCUUUAAGGCCAUGGCUUCUUCAUAUGUCCUUGGAAUAUAGCUCUCAUCCAAGCUUACUGUGAAGGCUGUAUGCUCGUCCGGAAACUCUACAAAGGAACACAUAGCUUGAGAAGGAUGCUCCACAGCCUGGGCAUUGUAGUACACUCUCGUGUUUACCCAGUUGGAAGCAUCUCUCUUCACCCUUGUGCUCCUCCUUAGCUCCUGAACCUGUUCUUCUUGUGGCUCUUGCCCAUCUUCACUUGAUUGAGCACCACUCUCAUUUGAACCAUUAGGAUCUCCUUCCCACUCUCCACUCUCAUCUGAGCCAGUAGACUCUCUUUGCUCAUCUCCACUAGACUGAGCACCAGUCUCUACUUCCUGUGUCACCUCUUGAUUAUGCUGGCCUGAAUCUUCUUGAUUUUGCACUUGCUCAUGAGAUUCAGUUCCAUUCCCCCUCUCAUGAUCAAGAGGAGUUGCUCUUUCAGCUUCACUAGUCGGAUUGGAAGACUCUCUUCUUCCAGAUUCCUGAUCCUGGGAUAACCCUAUCCCUAGCUUCUCCAACAUCACCCUCAGUGUUGUUGCUCUAUCAGAUGGAGCUUGAGACAAAUCCUUUAGAUUUUCCCACUCCUUUUCUUCAUAAUAUCCUUUUGAUUCAAUAAACUUCACUUCUCUAGAUACCAUCACUCUCCUUGCUUCAGGAUCAUAGCACUUGUAUCCCUUCUGAGUGAUAGAGUAUCCAAUGAACAUAGCCUUAGUACUCUUUGCCUCCAGCUUGUUUCUCUGUUCUCCUGGAGUCAUGACAUAGCACACACACCCAAAUACUCGUAGGUGAUCAAUAAAAGGCUUGCUCUUAUUAAGCACCUCAAAUGGAGACAGAUUCUUCAGUAUCUUGGUUGGGACUCGGUUGAUGAGAUAGCAAGCAGUUUGUACAGCAUCUCCCCAAAAGCGUUUUGGGACAUUUGCAUGAAACAUCAUCGACCUAGCAACCUCCAUCAAGUGCCUAUUCUUCCUCUCAGCUACACCAUUCUGCUGUGGUGUGUAGGGACAACUGGUCUGAUGCACAAUCCCAUGCUUGGCUAGAUGACUCUUAAAGGCAUUGCUGAUGUAUUCACCUCCGUUGUCUGAUCUCAGUACCUUCACAGUGGCAUUGUAUUGAUUAGAUACAUAUGCUUGGAAGUUCAUAAAAGCUUCUAGCACCCUAUCUUUAGAUGGAAGCAAUGUGAGCCAUGUAUACUUAGACUUCUCAUCAAUGAAUGUCACAAAGUAUUUAUGGCUGUCUCUAGACAUGCAUGGAGCGGUCCACACAUCCGAGUGAACUAGAUCAAAGCAAUGCUCAUAAGUAGUCUCAGAUGUUGGGAAAACAGUCCUACAAUGCUUUCCUAAUAUGCAUGCUUCACAAUUCAAGUGAUUGAAUGACAUAUUAGGGAUUAUCAAUUCAAUGGCACGAGCAUGAGGAUGUCCUAAUCUAGCAUGCCAAGUAAUACUAUCAAUCUUCUCAGCAGUACUACUCAAGCAAAUAGAAUCAAAGGGAUUAGAGGUCUUAGCCAAGUCGAGGUGGUAUAGCUGAUUCUUGCUGUCUCCUCUGCCAAUAACUCUCCCAGUCUUCAAAUCUUGAAACUCAACUUCAUCAGGUCUGAAUACUACUUGACAAUCAAGAUCAAUGGUAGCUUUCUUCACAGAUAAUAGAUUUGAAGUGAACUGAGGCAUGUAGAAGGCAGCCGUGUCCUUCUCAAACAGUUUUAGCUUUCCCACUCCUUCUAUUGGGAUCAUGGCACCAUUAGCUAUCAUAACACUCCCUGUUGCAGCCUUGAUCUCACUUAUAAGCCUCCUAUCACUGAUCAUAUGAUGACUUGCUCCAGAAUCAAUCACAAUGGGUUUAGAAGCUCCAGAUUGUAUAGCCUGCUUCCUGCUUGCUGCUAAGGCUUGUACUUGUUCCAUGAACACUCUCCAUUCCUUCCUGGUGAUGCGAUCAUCAGCUCCACUCCCUUUCUCCUGCUCUUUUAACACCCCACUGUCUUCUACUGAUUCCCCCAUGUAGGAUGAGUAAGAACACUCUCCCACAACUCUCUUUCUACCCUUUCCUAUGUUGAUAGAAGCUUUGGAUAGCAUUCUGCACCUCCUCCUCUUCCGGAAGCCCUCACUCCUACUCCCGGUUAGCCUCCAUGAGCUCUCACUCCUACUCAUGGUUAGCUUCUGGAAGCUCUCACUCCUACUCCCAGUUGGCUUCCAUGAGCUCUCACUCCUACUCAUGGUUAGCCUCUCAUCAUCUCUCAUUAUCCCAUACGCCCUUCUUAUAAGCACACAGACCUCUUCCAUUUCCGGAAGCUGUUCCCCUCUUAGAACCAUCUCCACCAGCCACCCAUAUGAUGACUCCAUACUCGCCAAGAGCUUCAGCACCAUCGCUUGCUCUUGUGUAGUAUCCCCAUCUACAUGGGAUCUCAACCCUUGUAGUUCAACCCACAAAUGUUGUAGCUUCCUCACAUGAUUAUUAAACCCUUCUCUUCCUGGUUUAACUUCACUAAUCACCUUCUUGACUUCAUACACUCUCCUAAGACUGAUCUUGUCCUCAUAAACAUCUUCAAUCUUCUCAAGCAGUGUACUUUCUUCAAGACUAAAGCAAUCUCCAUUUGUUUCUCUUGCUGUCUGAUCUUUCUCAGCAGCUUUACCCUUCAAAGACUCUUCCUUCUCAUGGUUUCUCCAAAUUCCACACCUUUUCAGAGUUGUUUUCAUCUGUGAGAACCACUCCCACUCAUUCCCUCUCUCUUUCUUCUCUUCACACCUUGUUGUACCAGAUUGAAGCAGCUCCAUCUUCUUUAGCCUAGAUCUUCACUCAACUGCUUCUAAUCUCACACGCCAAGCUUAACCACAAGCUAGACCCCUCUUCUGACCUUGUCAAACGCCUACAGAGACUCCCUUGAAGCUGACUCUCCAAAAGAAACACCAACAGACACAAACUUGACUUUUAAAGGAUCUAGCUCUUGAAAAAUCUCAAGAACUCUCAAGAACACUCAAGAACACUCAAGAACAUUUGGAACCACGAAAUCACUCUCUCCUUUUAAAGCAACCUGGCUCUGAUACCAUAUUAGAUUUAGUGAUUUAAAGAGUGAUGAAGUUUAAUCUGAGAAUUAAAGAGAUUGGAGAUUAAGAACAAGAGAGAGAGAGACUCAAAACUCCAUUAGCUUGAUUAAUGAGAGAGUUUACAACAUAUAUAGAUAAGAGAUACAUAUUUUCGUGAUGGUUCAGUCUAGUUAGGAUAAGAAGCAUGUGUAGUCAAAGAUGCCUCAUUCAAACCAGCCAAUAAGGUUCCUCACAUGCUUGGGCAUCUUGCUUUAGCUUUCCAGCUGGUGCCAGCCUGUCUAAAGCUCUCUUCCCUUGACCAGACCUUAUCCAAACUCCUCCUUGCUUAUCCAGACUCCCCAUGUCGUGUUCCACUCUCCAAAUGGAUGCAAGGUAACUUCUCAAGUCUUUUAACUUAGUUACCACAGUAACAAUAAAGUUACUGUGGUAAAUCUCCAAAGUUACUACCUGCUCCAAAUCCCUUCAUCUAUCCAUGUAUCAACUCUUCAUCUCCUCAUCUCAACACUUUAUUCUCUUAUCUCAACACUCCCCCUCAAGCUUGACCAUGUGAAACAAGUCAAGCUUGGAAGAACCAUGAGAUCUCCCUCAUUAAAACCUCAUUAAGGAAAACCCAUUGGGACAAAACCUUAAUGAGGAAAGAGUAGAGAUCACAUGAUCAGGAGAGUGUAUAGACUAGUCCUUAGGCGAGAGAUCAAUGAGUCCUAACCUGAUGUGUAUGGACUCCAUUGUCUUUUUGCCUUGCUGCCUUUGUGAACACAUCUGCUAACUGAUCCUCACUCCGAGUAUAACAAGGUAGAAUCACCCCAAGAAUCAUCAUCUGCCUCACCUUGUGACAAUCAACCUCAAUGUGCUUUGUUCUCUCAUGGAACACAGAAUUAGAUGCAAUGUGGAUAGCUGCUUGAUUAUCACAAUGCAUUGUCAUUGGCGUUGCUUGAAUAAUCUCCAGAUGCUUCAAAAUCCCUUUUAUCCACACUAGCUCAUUUGUAAGCUUCAGCAUUGCUCUAUACUCGGCCUCAGCACUGGAGCACGACACUACCUUCUGCUUCUUACUCUUCCAAGUGACCAAGUUACCACCAAUGAAUGUACAAUAGCCUGUGGUUGAUCUUCUGUCUGCUCGGUCUCCAGCCCAAUCUGCAUCACAAUAGCCUACAACCUCAGUACUCUUGUUACAUCCCAUCCAUACUCCAAGACCAGUAGUUCCAUUCAGAUACAUCAAGAUCCUUUCCACCAUCUGCCAAUGGUGCUCCUUAGGAACUUGCAUGUGUUGACUGACUUGAUUCACCGCAAAACACACAUCAGGUCUAGUAAUGGUGAGAUAAAUCAACUUCCCCACCAGCUUCCUAUAUAGCUUAGGAUCAUGGAACGGCUUGCUAUCCUCAAUCUCCCCCUCACGUGGAACCUUGUAACCAUCCUCCAUUGGCAUCUUGGCUGUCUUUCCUCCAUAGGCAUCUGCUCCCUUCAAGAGAUCAAUCACAUACUUCCUUUGGGACAUAAACAAUCCUUCCUUUGAUCUGCAUAUCUCAAUCCCAAGAAAAUACUUCAUUUCCCCUAAAUCUUUAAUCUCAAAGCUUGCCUUGAGAUACUCCUUUGUAUCCUUGAUGCCUUCCUUAUCACUGCCUGUGAUGAUAAUAUCAUCCACAUACACAAGCAACACCACAAUACCAGAUGAGGUGGUUAGGGUAAAGAGAGUGUGAUCCAAUUCUGACUUUCUGAACCCUCUCCCAUUCAGUGUAGUACUCAACUUGUUGUACCACGCCCUUGGAGACUGCUUGAGACCAUAGAUAGCUUUCCUCAACCUCAACACAUUACCCUUCUUUACUAGAUGUUCAAGGCCUGGUGGUGGAUGCAUGUAUACUUCAUCUUCCAACUCUCCUUGAAGGAAUGCAUUCUUCACAUCCAUUUGCCACAACUCCCACUCAAGAUUCACAGCUAAAGAUAAUACAAUCCUGAUAGUAUGAAGUUUAGCCACAGGAGCAAAGGUCUCAACAUAGUCCUCACCAUAUGUCUGAGUAAAUCCUCUUGCCACCAACCUAGACUUGCGCCUCUCUAUUCUCCCAUCAGGAUGAAACUUGAUUGUGAACACCCAUUUACUAGUCACUGCCUUCUUCCCUUUAGGCAGCUCACUUUCAUACCACGUUUCAUUCUUAAUCAUGGCUCCAGACUCAUCAGCAACUGACUCUCUCCACUCCUUUAAGGCCAUGGCUUCUUCAUAUGUCCUUGGAAUAUAGCUCUCAUCCAAGCUUACUGUGAAGGCUGUAUGCUCGUCCGGAAACUCUGCAAAGGAACACAUAGCUUGAGAAGGAUGCUCCACAGCCUGGGCAUUGUAGUACACUCUCGUGUUUACCCAGUUGGAAGCAUCUCUCUUCACCCUUGUGCUCCUCCUUAGCUCCUGAACCUGUUCUUCUUGUGGCUCUUGCCCAUCUUCACUUGAUUGAGCACCACUCUCAUUUGAACCAUUAGGAUCUCCUUCCCACUCUCCACUCUCAUCUGAGCCAGUAGACUCUCUUUGCUCAUCUCCACUAGACUGAGCACCAGUCUCUACUUCCUGUGUCACCUCUUGAUUAUGCUGGCCUGAAUCUUCUUGAUUUUGCACUUGCUCAUGAGAUUCAGUUCCAUUCCCCCUCUCAUGAUCAAGAGGAGUUGCUCUUUCAGCUUCACUAGUCGGAUUGGAAGACUCUCUUCUUCCAGAUUCCUGAUCCUGGGAUAACCCUAUCCCUAGCUUCUCCAACAACACUCUCAGUGUUGUUGCUCUAUCAGAUGGAGCUUGAGACAAAUCCUUUAGAUUUUCCCACUCCUUUUCUUCAUAAUAUCCUUUUGAUUCAAUAAACUUCACUUCUCUAGAUACCAUCACUCUCCUUGCUUCAGGAUCAUAGCACUUGUAUCCCUUCUGAGUGAUAGAGUAUCCAAUGAACAUAGCCUUAGUACUCUUUGCCUCCAGCUUGUUUCUCUGUUCUCCUGGAGUCAUGACAUAGCACACACGCCCAAAUACUCGUAGGUGAUCAAUAAAAGGCUUGCUCUUAUUCAGCACCUCAAAUGGAGACAGAUUCUUCAGUAUCUUGGUUGGGACUCGGUUGAUGAGAUAGCAAGCAGUUUGUACAGCAUCUCCCCAAAAGCGUUUUGGGACAUUUGCAUGAAACAUCAUCGACCUAGCAACCUCCAUCAAGUGCCUAUUCUUCCUCUCAGCUACACCAUUCUGCUGUGGUGUGUAGGGACAACUGGUCUGAUGCACAAUCCCAUGCUUGGCUAGAUGACUCUUAAAGGCAUUGCUGAUGUAUUCACCUCCGUUGUCUGAACUCAGUACCUUCACAGUGGCAUUGUAUUGAUUAGAUACAUAUGCUUGGAAGUUCAUAAAAGCUUCUAGCACCCUAUCUUUAGAUGGAAGCAAUGUGAGCCAUGUAUACUUAGACUUCUCAUCAAUGAAUGUCACAAAGUAUUUAUGGCUGUCUCUAGACAUGCAUGGAGCGGUCCACACAUCCGAGUGAACUAGAUCAAAGCAAUGCUCAUAAGUAGUCUCAGAUGUUGGGAAAACAGUCCUACAAUGCUUUCCUAAUAUGCAUGCUUCACAAUUCAAGUGAUUGAAUGACAUAUUAGGGAUUAUCAAUUCAAUGGCACGAGCAUGAGGAUGUCCUAAUCUAGCAUGCCAAGUAAUACUAUCAAUCUUCUCAGCAGUACUACUCAAGCAAAUAGAAUCAAAGGGAUUAGAGGUCUUAGCCAAGUCGAGGUGGUAUAGCUGAUUCUUGCUGUCUCCUCUGCCAAUAACUCUCCCAGUCUUCAAAUCUUGAAACUCAACUUCAUCAGGUCUGAAUACUACUUGACAAUCAAGAUCAAUGGUAGCUUUCUUCACAGAUAAUAGAUUUGAAGUGAACUGAGGCAUGUAGAAGGCAGCCGUGUCCUUCUCAAACAGUUUUAGCUUUCCCACUCCUUCUAUUGGGAUCAUGGCACCAUUAGCUAUCAUAACACUCCCUGUUGCAGCCUUGAUCUCACUUAUAAGCCUCCUAUCACUGAUCAUAUGAUGACUUGCUCCAGAAUCAAUCACAAUGGGUUUAGAAGCUCCAGAUUGUAUAGCCUGCUUCCUGCUUGCUGCUAAGGCUUGUACUUGUUCCAUGAACACUCUCCAUUCCUUCCUGGUGAUGCGAUCAUCAGCUCCACUCCCUUUCUCCUGCUCUUUUAACACCCCACUGUCUUCUACUGAUUCCCCCAUGUAGGCUGAGUAAGAACACUCUCCCACAACUCUCUUUCUACCCUUUCCUAUGUUGAUAGAAGCUUUGGAUAGCAUUCUGCACCUCCUCCUCUUCCGGAAGCCCUCACUCCUACUCCCGGUUAGCCUCCAUGAGCUCUCACUCCUACUCAUGGUUAGCUUCUGGAAGCUCUCACUCCUACUCCCAGUUGGCUUCCAUGAGCUCUCACUCCUACUCAUGGUUAGCCUCUCAUCAUCUCUCAUUAUCCCAUACGCCCUUCUUAUAAGCACACAGACCUCUUCCAUUUCCGGAAGCUGUUCCCCUCUUAGAACCAUCUCCACCAGCCACCCAUAUGAUGACUCCAUACUCGCCAAGAGCUUCAGCACCAUCGCUUGCUCUUGUGUAGUAUCCCCAUCUACAUGGGAUCUCAACCCUUGUAGUUCAACCCACAAAUGUUGUAGCUUCCUCACAUGAUUAUUAAACCCUUCUCUUCCUGGUUUAACUUCACUAAUCACCUUCUUGACUUCAUACACUCUCCUAAGACUGAUCUUGUCCUCAUAAACAUCUUCAAUCUUCUCAAGCAGUGUACUUUCUUCAAGACUAAAGCAAUCUCCAUUUGUUUCUCUUGCUGUCUGAUCUUUCUCAGCAGCUUUACCCUUCAAAGACUCUUCCUUCUCAUGGUUUCUCCAAAUUCCACACCUUUUCAGAGUUGUUUUCAUCUGUGAGAACCACUCCCACUCAUUCCCUCUCUCUUUCUUCUCUUCACACCUUGUUGUACCAGAUUGAAGCAGCUCCAUCUUCUUUAGCCUAGAUCUUCACUCAACUGCUUCUAAUCUCACACGCCAAGCUUAACCACAAGCUAGACCCCUCUUCUGACCUUGUCAAACGCCUACAGAGACUCCCUUGAAGCUGACUCUCCAAAAGAAACACCAACAGACACAAACUUGACUUUUAAAGGAUCUAGCUCUUGAAAAAUCUCAAGAACUCUCAAGAACACUCAAGAACACUCAAGAACAUUUGGAACCACGAAAUCACUCUCUCCUUUUAAAGCAACCUGGCUCUGAUACCAUAUUAGAUUUAGUGAUUUAAAGAGUGAUGAAGUUUAAUCUGAGAAUUAAAGAGAUUGGAGAUUAAGAACAAGAGAGAGAGAGACUCAAAACUCCAUUAGCUUGAUUAAUGAGAGAGUUUACAACAUAUAUAGAUAAGAGAUACAUAUUUUCGUGAUGGUUCAGUCUAGUUAGGAUAAGAAGCAUGUGUAGUCAAAGAUGCCUCAUUCAAACCAGCCAAUAAGGUUCCUCACAUGCUUGGGCAUCUUGCUUUAGCUUUCCAGCUGGUGCCAGCCUGUCUAAAGCUCUCUUCCCUUGACCAGACCUUAUCCAAACUCCUCCUUGCUUAUCCAGACUCCCCAUGUCGUGUUCCACUCUCCAAAUGGAUGCAAGGUAACUUCUCAAGUCUUUUAACUUAGUUACCACAGUAACAAUAAAGUUACUGUGGUAAAUCUCCAAAGUUACUACCUGCUCCAAAUCCCUUCAUCUAUCCAUGUAUCAACUCUUCAUCUCCUCAUCUCAACACUUUAUUCUCUUAUCUCAACACUCCCCCUCAAGCUUGACCAUGUGAAACAAGUCAAGCUUGGAAGAACCAUGAGAUCUCCCUCAUUAAAACCUCAUUAAGGAAAACCCAUUGGGACAAAACCUUAAUGAGGAAAGAGUAGAGAUCACAUGAUCAGGAGAGUGUAUAGACUAGUCCUUAGGCGAGAGAUCAAUGAGUCCUAACCUGAUGUGUAUGGACUCCAUUGUCUUUUGCCUUGCUGCCUUUGUGAACACAUCUGCUAACUGAUCCUCACUCCGAGUAUAACAAGGUAGAAUCACCCCAAGAAUCAUCAUCUGCCUCACCUUGUGACAAUCAACCUCAAUGUGCUUUGUUCUCUCAUGGAACACAGAAUUAGAUGCAAUGUGGAUAGCUGCUUGAUUAUCACAAUGCAUUGUCAUUGGCGUUGCUUGAAUAAUCUCCAGAUGCUUCAAAAUCCCUUUUAUCCACACUAGCUCAUUUGUAAGCUUCAGCAUUGCUCUAUACUCGGCCUCAGCACUGGAGCAAGACACUAUCUUCUGCUUCUUACUCUUCCAAGUGACCAAGUUACCACCAAUGAAUGUACAAUAGCCUGUGGUUGAUCUUCUGUCUGCUCGGUCUCCAGCCCAAUCUGCAUCACAAUAGCCUACAACCUCAGUACUCUUGUUACAUCCCAUCCAUACUCCAAGACCAGUAGUUCCAUUCAGAUACAUCAAGAUCCUUUCCACCAUCUGCCAAUGGUGCUCCUUAGGAACUUGCAUGUGUUGACUGACUUGAUUCACCGCAAAACACACAUCAGGUCUAGUAAUGGUGAGAUAAAUCAACUUCCCCACCAGCUUCCUAUAUAGCUUAGGAUCAUGGAACGGCUUGCUAUCCUCAAUCUCCCCCUCACGUGGAACCUUGUAACCAUCCUCCAUUGGCAUCUUGGCUGUCUUUCCUCCAUAGGCAUCUGCUCCCUUCAAGAGAUCAAUCACAUACUUCCUUUGGGACAUAAACAAUCCUUCCUUUGAUCUGCAUAUCUCAAUCCCAAGAAAAUACUUCAUUUCCCCUAAAUCUUUAAUCUCAAAGCUUGCCUUGAGAUACUCCUUUGUAUCCUUGAUGCCUUCCUUAUCACUGCCUGUGAUGAUAAUAUCAUCCACAUACACAAGCAACACCACAAUACCAGAUGAGGUGGUUAGGGUAAAGAGAGUGUGAUCCAAUUCUGACUUUCUGAACCCUCUCCCAUUCAGUGUAGUACUCAACUUGUUGUACCACGCCCUUGGAGACUGCUUGAGACCAUAGAUAGCUUUCCUCAACCUCAACACAUUACCCUUCUUUACUAGAUGUUCAAGGCCUGGUGGUGGAUGCAUGUAUACUUCAUCUUCCAACUCUCCUUGAAGGAAUGCAUUCUUCACAUCCAUUUGCCACAACUCCCACUCAAGAUUCACAGCUAAAGAUAAUACAAUCCUGAUAGUAUGAAGUUUAGCCACAGGAGCAAAGGUCUCAACAUAGUCCUCACCAUAUGUCUGAGUAAAUCCUCUUGCCACCAACCUAGACUUGCGCCUCUCUAUUCUCCCAUCAGGAUGAAACUUGAUUGUGAACACCCAUUUACUAGUCACUGCCUUCUUCCCUUUAGGCAGCUCACUUUCAUACCACGUUUCAUUCUUAAUCAUGGCUCCAGACUCAUCAGCAACUGACUCUCUCCACUCCUUUAAGGCCAUGGCUUCUUCAUAUGUCCUUGGAAUAUAGCUCUCAUCCAAGCUUACUGUGAAGGCUGUAUGCUCGUCCGGAAACUCUGCAAAGGAACACAUAGCUUGAGAAGGAUGCUCCACAGCCUGGGCAUUGUAGUACACUCUCGUGUUUACCCAGUUGGAAGCAUCUCUCUUCACCCUUGUGCUCCUCCUUAGCUCCUGAACCUGUUCUUCUUGUGGCUCUUGCCCAUCUUCACUUGAUUGAGCACCACUCUCAUUUGAACCAUUAGGAUCUCCUUCCCACUCUCCACUCUCAUCUGAGCCAGUAGACUCUCUUUGCUCAUCUCCACUAGACUGAGCACCAGUCUCUACUUCCUGUGUCACCUCUUGAUUAUGCUGGCCUGAAUCUUCUUGAUUUUGCACUUGCUCAUGAGAUUCAGUUCCAUUCCCCCUCUCAUGAUCAAGAGGAGUUGCUCUUUCAGCUUCACUAGUCGGAUUGGAAGACUCUCUUCUUCCAGAUACCUGAUCCUGGGAUAACCCUAUCCCUAGCUUCUCCAACAUCACCCUCAGUGUUGUUGCUCUAUCAGAUGGAGCUUGAGACAAAUCCUUUAGAUUUUCCCACUCCUUUUCUUCAUAAUAUCCUUUUGAUUCAAUAAACUUCACUUCUCUAGAUACCAUCACUCUCCUUGCUUCAGGAUCAUAGCACUUGUAUCCCUUCUGAGUGAUAGAGUAUCCAAUGAACAUAGCCUUAGUACUCUUUGCCUCCAGCUUGUUUCUCUGUUCUCCUGGAGUCAUGACAUAGCACACACGCCCAAAUACUCGUAGGUGAUCAAUAAAAGGCUUGCUCUUAUUCAGCACCUCAAAUGGAGACAGAUUCUUCAGUAUCUUGGUUGGGACUCGGUUGAUGAGAUAGCAAGCAGUUUGUACAGCAUCUCCCCAAAAGCGUUUUGGGACAUUUGCAUGAAACAUCAUCGACCUAGCAACCUCCAUCAAGUGCCUAUUCUUCCUCUCAGCUACACCAUUCUGCUGUGGUGUGUAGGGACAACUGGUCUGAUGCACAAUCCCAUGCUUGGCUAGAUGACUCUUAAAGGCAUUGCUGAUGUAUUCACCUCCGUUGUCUGAACUCAGUACCUUCACAGUGGCAUUGUAUUGAUUAGAUACAUAUGCUUGGAAGUUCAUAAAAGCUUCUAGCACCCUAUCUUUAGAUGGAAGCAAUGUGAGCCAUGUAUACUUAGACUUCUCAUCAAUGAAUGUCACAAAGUAUUUAUGGCUGUCUCUAGACAUGCAUGGAGCGGUCCACACAUCCGAGUGAACUAGAUCAAAGCAAUGCUCAUAAGUAGUCUCAGAUGUUGGGAAAACAGUCCUACAAUGCUUUCCUAAUAUGCAUGCUUCACAAUUCAAGUGAUUGAAUGACAUAUUAGGGAUUAUCAAUUCAAUGGCACGAGCAUGAGGAUGUCCUAAUCUAGCAUGCCAAGUAAUACUAUCAAUCUUCUCAGCAGUACUACUCAAGCAAAUAGAAUCAAAGGGAUUAGAGGUCUUAGCCAAGUCGAGGUGGUAUAGCUGAUUCUUGCUGUCUCCUCUGCCAAUAACUCUCCCAGUCUUCAAAUCUUGAAACUCAACUUCAUCAGGUCUGAAUACUACUUGACAAUCAAGAUCAAUGGUAGCUUUCUUCACAGAUAAUAGAUUUGAAGUGAACUGAGGCAUGUAGAAGGCAGCCGUGUCCUUCUCAAACAGUUUUAGCUUUCCCACUCCUUCUAUUGGGAUCAUGGCACCAUUAGCUAUCAUAACACUCCCUGUUGCAGCCUUGAUCUCACUUAUAAGCCUCCUAUCACUGAUCAUAUGAUGACUUGCUCCAGAAUCAAUCACAAUGGGUUUAGAAGCUCCAGAUUGUAUAGCCUGCUUCCUGCUUGCUGCUAAGGCUUGUACUUGUUCCAUGAACACUCUCCAUUCCUUCCUGGUGAUGCGAUCAUCAGCUCCACUCCCUUUCUCCUGCUCUUUUAACACCCCACUGUCUUCUACUGAUUCCCCCAUGUAGGCUGAGUAAGAACACUCUCCCACAACUCUCUUUCUACCCUUUCCUAUGUUGAUAGAAGCUUUGGAUAGCAUUCUGCACCUCCUCCUCUUCCGGAAGCCCUCACUCCUACUCCCGGUUAGCCUCCAUGAGCUCUCACUCCUACUCAUGGUUAGCUUCUGGAAGCUCUCACUCCUACUCCCAGUUGGCUUCCAUGAGCUCUCACUCCUACUCAUGGUUAGCUUCUGGAAGCUCUCACUCCUACUCCCAGUUGGCUUCCAUGAGCUCUCACUCCUACUCAUGGUUAGCCUCUCAUCAUCUCUCAUUAUCCCAUACGCCCUUCUUAUAAGCACACAGACCUCUUCCAUUUCCGGAAGCUGUUCCCCUCUUAGAACCAUCUCCACCAGCCACCCAUAUGAUGACUCCAUACUCGCCAAGAGCUUCAGCACCAUCGCUUGCUCUUGUGUAGUAUCCCCAUCUACAUGGGAUCUCAACCCUUGUAGUUCAACCCACAAAUGUUGUAGCUUCCUCACAUGAUUAUUAAACCCUUCUCUUCCUGGUUUAACUUCACUAAUCACCUUCUUGACUUCAUACACUCUCCUAAGACUGAUCUUGUCCUCAUAAACAUCUUCAAUCUUCUCAAGCAGUGUACUUUCUUCAAGACUAAAGCAAUCUCCAUUUGUUUCUCUUGCUGUCUGAUCUUUCUCAGCAGCUUUACCCUUCAAAGACUCUUCCUUCUCAUGGUUUCUCCAAAUUCCACACCUUUUCAGAGUUGUUUUCAUCUGUGAGAACCACUCCCACUCAUUCCCUCUCUCUUUCUUCUCUUCACACCUUGUUGUACCAGAUUGAAGCAGCUCCAUCUUCUUUAGCCUAGAUCUUCACUCAACUGCUUCUAAUCUCACACGCCAAGCUUAACCACAAGCUAGACCCCUCUUCUGACCUUGUCAAACGCCUACAGAGACUCCCUUGAAGCUGACUCUCCAAAAGAAACACCAACAGACACAAACUUGACUUUUAAAGGAUCUAGCUCUUGAAAAAUCUCAAGAACUCUCAAGAACACUCAAGAACACUCAAGAACAUUUGGAACCACGAAAUCACUCUCUCCUUUUAAAGCAACCUGGCUCUGAUACCAUAUUAGAUUUAGUGAUUUAAAGAGUGAUGAAGUUUAAUCUGAGAAUUAAAGAGAUUGGAGAUUAAGAACAAGAGAGAGAGAGACUCAAAACUCCAUUAGCUUGAUUAAUGAGAGAGUUUACAACAUAUAUAGAUAAGAGAUACAUAUUUUCGUGAUGGUUCAGUCUAGUUAGGAUAAGAAGCAUGUGUAGUCAAAGAUGCCUCAUUCAAACCAGCCAAUAAGGUUCCUCACAUGCUUGGGCAUCUUGCUUUAGCUUUCCAGCUGGUGCCAGCCUGUCUAAAGCUCUCUUCCCUUGACCAGACCUUAUCCAAACUCCUCCUUGCUUAUCCAGACUCCCCAUGUCGUGUUCCACUCUCCAAAUGGAUGCAAGGUAACUUCUCAAGUCUUUUAACUUAGUUACCACAGUAACAAUAAAGUUACUGUGGUAAAUCUCCAAAGUUACUACCUGCUCCAAAUCCCUUCAUCUAUCCAUGUAUCAACUCUUCAUCUCCUCAUCUCAACACUUUAUGAAAUACUUUCUUGGAAUUGAGAUUUGUAGAUCCAAGGAAGGGUUAUUCAUGUCCCAAAGGAAGUAUACACUUGAUCUUUUGAAAGAUGCAGGUGCUUAUGGAGGCAAGACAGCAAGGAUGCCUAUGGAGGAUGGCUACAAAGUACCAAGAGAGGGGGAGAUUGAAGACAGCAAGCCAUUUCAUGAUCCUAAACUCUAUAGAAAACUUGUUGGCAAAUUGAUUUACCUUACCAUCACAAGACCUGACAUAUGUUUUGCUGUGAAUCAGGUGAGUCAACAUAUGCAGCUUCCCAAGGAACAUCAUUGGCACAUGGUGGAGAGGCUACUGAUGUAUCUGAAUGGCUCGCCAGAUCAAGGAGUCUGGAUGGGGUGCAAUGGAAGCACUGAAGUGGUGGGCUAUUGUGAUGCUGAUUGGGCAGGAGAUAGAGCUGAUAGGAGAUCAACAACCGGCUAUUGCACAUUCAUUGGAGGCAACUUAGUUACAUGGAAGAGUAAGAAGCAGAAGGUGGUCUCUUGCUCAAGUGCUGAAGCUGAGUAUAGAGCUAUGCUGAAGCUUACCAACGAGCUGGUGUGGAUCAAAGGCAUCUUGAAGCAUUUGGAGAUUGAUCAAGCCGCACCUAUGACAAUGCAUUGUGAUAACCAAGCAGCUAUUCACAUUGCCUCCAACUCGGUGUUUCAUGAGAGAACCAAGCACAUUGAAGUUGAUUGUCACAAGGUGAGGCAGAUGAUCAUCCUAGGAGUCAUCUUACCAUGCUACACUCGGAGUGAAGAUCAGUUGGCUGAUGUGUUCACUAAGGCUGCAAGACAAAAGACUAUGGAGUCCAUUCACAUUAGAUUGGGACUCAUAGAUCUUGGGAAGGGCUGAUGUAUUCACAAAAGCGGCAAGAAUGAAGACAAUGGAGUCCAUCUACAUCAGGUUGGGACUCGUUGAUCUGUCACCAAGGAGCUGAGCCCCUUACUAUGAGGUCUUUACUCUUUUUCCCUCAUCAAAGUUUUGUCCCAAUGGGUUUUCUUUGGUGAGGUUUUUAAUGAGGAAGAUCUCAUGGCUGUCCAAGCUUAGACUAUCAUAAAGCUAAGCUUGAGGGGGAGUGUUGAGAUGUGUUGAGGUAUAUGUGAAGGCAUUGAGGAGUUAAGGACAUGAGAAAGCUAAGGAGUGAAAGGAAAGGGAGUUAAGAGUAAACUAAGGCAUGGUACGGACGGGCCAUCCGUACACUGACCGUACCAAGGUAAAACUAGGAUGGUAACUUCACCGAGUAACUCUUAUGGACCGAGGUGAAGUUACACUCGACCAAAAGCUUAUCCAGACGUUGGAGUGGAUAAGCUAGGACAGGCUGGCAAGGGCUGGAAAGGAAGAGCAUCUUGGACCAGGAUCAGGAAGAUGCCCGAACGUGUGAAGCUAGUCAUUGGCCGGUUCAAACAAAAGCAAAGGCUCUUCCCUUGACCUCACAUGCUUAUCUACUCUUGUGUUUCGAAAACCCUAAUGUCUAGAACAAUAUAAAUAUGUAACCUCACUCAUUAAUAAGAUCAUACAGUUCUGAGUCUCUCUCUAAUUUCCUAAGUCACCAUGAUUCUCUCUUAGACACUAAACAACUCUCAAGUCUCUUAAUCUUUCAUAAUCUCUUCCUAAUCUCUACUUAAACUCUUACUUAUAUUCUAGUUACUUUAAGGAUCUCUAAAUAUCAUAACGUACUUCUCCUUCACUUGUCCUGCUUGAGGAGCCAGCACCCAUAGAGCUCUCAGUCAUGUGUGCUCUUGCUUCCUUCUCCUUUAAGAACUUAGCCGGCUUUAAGUGAGGGUGGAGUAUCCAGCAUUGACUCUUCUUGUGUCCAUGCUUCUUGCAGUGAUCACAAUUCCCAUUGAACCUCUUGUCUUCAUACUUGCCAUGAGCCGCCUUGUUAGUUUGAGGAGCUUCAGUCUGAUCCACUUGGGACGCAUGAUUCGCCAAUGUGAGCUCUCCUUUGCCUCUAAACAGCCCAAUGGAGCCUUGUUCUUUUUGAAUCUGUGAACACACGUCCUCUAGGUCAGGUAGCUUAUCAGCUCUUAACAUGUGCUUGAUGAGACUGUUGUAGGCCGAGUUUAGUGUGAGCAGCAAGCCAAACACCUUGUCUUGCUCCCGCCUCUCAUUCAACUGAUCUGGAUCAGUUGUACUCGGCCUCAACAUCUCUAGCUCUGACCACAACGCCCUGAAUCUUCCCAAAUGCUUGGUGAACUCCAUGUCUUCUUGUGCAAGGUUGUUGAUAGCUUGCUUUACCUCAAAGACACGGCUCAGGUUCGAAAUGUUCCCAUAGACCUUCUUCAAGGUGUCCCACAGCUCCUUGGCUGACUCACAGUAGCUGUAUGUGUUGAAAUGAGUUGAACAAUAUAUGAGAAGAUAGCUUAAGGAGUUGGGAAUGAGAUAAUGUGAAGGCAAAGAGAAGGAAAGCUUUGGAGUGAUCAGACCGUACAAGGCCGUACCAGCCGUACCAUCCGUACGGUCCGGAUCAAUCCACCACUCGACCAAGAGGAGAAGUUACCGCGUGAAAGAAGUAAACGGCCAAAGGAGUUUUACCUUAGGGGAGAUGACCGUUUGGAUGGAUAGAGUGACUGAGCCUUAUCCACACAGGCUGGAACAGGCUGUAAAGGCAAAAGGAACCUGGUCCAAGAUGCCAAAAACGUGUGACAGCUCCCAUUGGAUCAAGUUUGAAUUAAAGCAACCUUAUCCUUGACCUCACAUGCUUAGUCUCUCUGAAACCCUUGUAUCUGAUCCUAUAUAUUGUAAACUCUGUCUUGAUUAAUAGAUAACACGAGUUUAUGAGUAUCUCUCUCUAGUUCAUCAUGAUAAUCUCAUACACUUUAUCUUAAACACUCUAAUCUCUCUUGAAUCUCUCUUAGACUUCUCAAUACCUUUCUUAUUCUCUAAAAUCAUAGUAUGCCUCCUGAAAGCUAUCAACACACCGGUACAACAUGGAGAGGAGUUCACCAAGCAUUUGGGCAAGUAUAGAUCCUUGUGGUCUGAGCUUGAAUCGUUGAGGCCAAGCACUAAUGAUCAAGAGCUACUCACGGAGAGGAGGGAGCAGGAUCAGGUGUUUGGUUUGCUGUUGACGUUGGAUCCUCCAUUCAACGAUGUGAUCAAGCACAUGUUGAGGAUGCCAAAUCUCCCAUCUAUGGAGGAAGUGUGUGCGCAACUUCAGCAGGAGGAAGGGUCACUUGGUCUCUUUGGAAGCAAGGGAGACUUAGCUCUAGCCAACAAGGCUGAGGAAGGAGCACAAGCUAACCGUGCAGCAUACAAGACUGAUGAGAGGAAGUAUGGUGAUGAGAGGAGGUUUGGAGGCAAUUGUGAUCACUGCAAGAAGUUGGGACACAAGAGGACCCAAUGCUGGAUCCUUCACCCCCAUCUCAAGCCGGCAAAAUUCAACAAAGACCGAGAAGCCAGAGCUAACCUGUCUACUGAAGCAAGUGAGUCCGGUCCAUCAGGAGCAGGCUCAAGUGCACAAGUGGGUGAAAGCGCAGGAAAGGCAAUGGCAACUCACUACACGGCCGCAAAGAGUUUGGAGCAUGAAGUGAUUCGCAAAUCUGACAUUGAUGCCCUCAUCAAAGCUCUUAAGGAGUCUGGUACAUUCGGAAACACUCUUGGUUAUUCUUACACUGCUCAUAUGAUGCCUAGGAAUGAGAAUAGGUUGAUAGAUAUCAUUGAGGAAUUAAAACUGAGAAAUGAAUCACCUAGAACUCAUCUAGCUAGAGGCAUAAAACCAUUGAUUGUUGACUCUGGUGCAUCUCAUCACAUGAUCAGUGAUGAUAGCUUGAUUAAAAACAUAGAACCUGCUCAUGGACAUGUAAUGAUUGCAAAUGGAGAUAGAAUUCCCAUUAAAGAUGUAGGAGACUUAAAGCUAUUUGAUAAGAACUCUAAAGCAUUUUACAUGCUUGAUUUCACUUCUAAUCUCUUAUCUGUUAAAAGAUGUACCAAUGAUCUACAAUGCAAUGUUAUCUUUAGUCCUAACAAUGCGACAUUUCAGGAUAUUGAGAGCAAUAAGUUGAUUGGACAAGGAGUAACCAAGGGAGAUCUUUAUGUACUUGAAGAUAUUAAUCCCAUUUCUAGUUGUUUGCUGAGUUCUGUUUUAAGUAAAGGUGCAUUAUGGCAUUCUAGGCUAGGACAUCCACAUGUUAGAGCCUUAAGCUUAAUGUUACCAGGUGUCAUGUUUAAAAAUAAUGAUUGUGAGGCUUGUAUUUUGGGAAAACAUUGUAAGACUGUGUUUAAAAGAUCUACUACUAUCUAUGAUAAGUGUUUUGAUCUUGUUCACUCUGAUGUAUGGACUGCUCCCUGCUUAUCUAGAGAUAAUUACAAGUACUUUGUCACAUUUAUAGAUGAAAAAUCUAAGUACACCUGGAUAACACUCAUUAAAACAAAGGAUAGGGUUCUUGAUGCAUUUAAAAACUUCCAAGCUUAUAUAUCUAACCAGUAUAAUGCCAAGAUUAAGAUUUUCAGGUCUGAUAAUGGUGGAGAAUAUACUGGUAAUGCUUUCAAGAGUCAUCUAGCUCACCAUGGGAUUCUACAUCAGACAAGUUGUCCAUACACUCCUCAACAGAAUGGUGUAGCCGAGAGAAAGAAUAGACACCUAAUGGAGGUGGCAAGGUCUAUGAUGUUUCACACAAGUGUGCCUAAAAGAUUCUGGAGUGAUGCUGUGAUCUCGGCUUGUUAUCUGAUCAAUAGGAUACCAACCAAGAUCUUGGAGGAUCAGGCACCUUAUGAAGUUCUAAACAGAAACAAACCUGUGCUGGAUCACUUAAGAGUCUUUGGAUGUGUGUGCUUUGUACUCGUACCCAGGGAGCUAAGGAAUAAGCUAGAAGCAAAGAGCACAAGAGCCAUGUUCAUUGGCUACUCAACAUCACAAAAGGGAUAUAAAUGCUAUGAUUCAGAAGCCAGGAGAGUUCUUGUGUCUAGAGAUGUUAAGUUCUUGGAGGAUAAGAGCUUUUAUGGAGAUAGAAAGUGGGAAGAUCUUGAAGAUUUGUCUCAACCAUCUGAUAGAGCUACAAGUCUUAGGCGUGUACUAGAAGGACUUGGAAUCAACAUGUCCCAGGAUCAGCAACCAACCAAGGAGAAUGAAGCUGAAGAACCAUCACACCAUGAUCAUGAAGGGGGAAAUGAGACUGAGCCUGAAGAUCAUGAAGAUCAAGACUCAGAUAGUCAUGGUCAAGGUGUGAUACAAAGCGAGGAAGAAGUCAUUCAAGAAGUGGAACCAGAUGAAGUAGAAGGGGAAGCAGUUCAGCCUACGGUGGUGGAGGUGGAACCAGUUCCAUUAAGGAGAAGCACACGGUUGAAGAAGGAUGUUUCCAACUGGGUAAACACGAGAGUGUACUACAAUGCUCAGGCUGUGAAGCAUCCCUCUCAGGCUGUGUGUUCUUUUGCUAGUUACCCAAAGGAACAUUGCGCUUUCAUUACAAGCUUAGAUGGAAGUAGUGUACCAAGAUCAUAUGAAGAAGCAAUGCUACAUGAAGAUUGGAAAGAAUCAGUGGGUGAUGAAGCUAAUGCUAUGAUAAAGAAUGAUACUUGGUUUGAAAGUGAGUUGCCAAAAGGGAAGAAGGCUGUAACAAGCAAGUGGAUAUUCACUAUCAAGUAUCUACCUGAUGGAACCAUUGAGAGGAAGAAGACAAGAUUGGUGGAUAGAGGAUACACUCAAACAUAUGGGGAAGACUACAUUGAUACCUUUGCUCCUGUUGCCAAGCUACAUACUAUAAGGAUUGUAUUGUCUCUUGCUGUGAACCUUGAGUGGGAGCUUUGGCAGAUGGAUGUGAAGAAUGCCUUUCUUCAAGGAGAGCUAGAGGAUGAAGUAUAUAUGCAUCCACCACCAGGCCUAGAGCAUCUUGUGAAACCUGGAAAUGUAUUGAGACUCAAGAAGGCUAUCUAUGGAUUGAAGCAAUCUCCUAGAGCAUGGUACAACAAAUUGAGCACUACCUUAAACGGACGGGGGUUCAAGAAGUCUGAACUAGAUCACACUCUAUUCACUCUCACUACACCCUCAGGUAUUAUUUGCCUACUUGUAUAUGUUGAUGACAUUAUAAUAACAGGUAGUGAUAAGGCUGGUAUAAAAGCCACAAAGGAGUUUUUGAAAUCUGUAUUUGAAAUCAAAGACUUAGGAGAAAUGAAAUACUUCCUUGGAAUUGAGUUGUGUAGAUCUAAGGAAGGAUUGUUCAUUUCCCAAAGGAAGUAUACAUUUGAUCUUUUGAAAGAUGCAGGUAUACAAGGAGAUAAGACAGCAAAGAUGCCCCUUGAAGAUGGAUACAAGAUUCCACGUGAGGGGGAGGUUGAAGAUAGCAAGGCCUUUCAUGAUCCAAAGCUAUACAGGAAGCUGGUAGGGAAGCUCAUCUAUCUCACUAUCACAAGACCAGACAUAUGCUUUGCUGUGAAUCAAGUGAGCCAGCAUAUGCAAGUCCCAAAGGAACAUCACUGGCGCAUGGUGGAGAGACUUCUCUUGUAUCUGAACGGGACAUCAAGCCUUGGAGUAUGGAUGGGAUGCAACAAGAGUACUGAAGUGGUGGGAUAUUGUGACGCUGAUUGGGCUGGAGAUAGAGCAGACAGAAGAUCAACCACCGGCUAUUGUACAUUCAUUGGAGGCAACUUGGUGACUUGGAAGAGCAAGAAGCAGAAGGUGGUAUCGUGUUCAAGUGCUGAAGCUGAGUAUAGAGCAAUGCUGAAGCUUACAAAUGAGUUGGUAUGGAUUAAAGGGAUCUUGAAGCAUUUGGAGAUAGAGCAAGUGACUCCAAUGACUAUGCACUGUGAUAAUCAAGCGGCUAUACACAUUGCAACCAACUCAGUCUUCCAUGGUCACAAGGUGAGGCAGAUGAUUGUCUUGGGAGUAAUCAUGCCAUGCUAUACGAGGAGUGAGGAUCAACUUGCGGAUGUGUUCACCAAGGCAGCAAGACAAAAGACUAUGGAGUCCAUUCACAUCAGAUUGGGACUCAUAGAUCUUACACCACGGAGCUGAUCCCCUUAGCCAUGAGCUCUUCACUCUUUUUCCCUCAUCAAAGUUUUGUCCCAAUGGGUUUUCUUUGGUGAGGUUUUUAAUGAGGAAGAUCUCAUGGUUGUUCCAAGCUUAACUAAGUUACUAAGUUAAGCUUGAGGGGGAGUGUUGAAAUGAGUUGAACAAUAUAUGAGAAGAUAGCUUAAGGAGUUGGGAAUGAGAUAAUGUGAAGGCAAAGAGAAGGAAAGCUUGGGAGUGAUCAGACCGUACAAGGCCGUACCGGCCGUACCAUCCGUACGGUCCGGAUCAAUCCACCACUCGACCAAGAGGAGAAGUUACCGCGUGAAAGAAGUAAACGGCCAAAGGAGUUUUACCUUAGGGGAGAUGACCGUUUGGAUGGAUAGAGUGACUGAGCCUUAUCCACACAGGCUUGAACAGGCUGUAAAGGCAAAAGGAACCUGGUCCAAGAUGCCAAAAACGUGUGACAGCUCCCAUUGGAUCAAGUUUGAAUUAAAGCAACCUUAUCCUUGACCUCACAUGCUUAGUCUCUCUGAAACCCUUGUAUCUGAUCCUAUAUAUUGUAAACUCUGUCUUGAUUAAUAAACACCACGAGUUUAUGAGUAUCUCUCUCUAGUUCAUCAUGAUAAUCUCAUACACUUUCUCUUAAACACUCUAAUCUCUCUUCAAUCUCUCUUAGACUUCUCAAUACCUUUCUUAUUCUCUAAAAUCAUAAAAUCGCGAUGUAAGAAGCUGUAUUUCUAUACAAAAAGUAGUGGAGAAUCACCAGGAAGUGGAAUAAAUCUCAUAGGAGUUAGGAUGAAGAAGUUAUCCCACUUUCAAAUCAGGUGAUCCCAGUUUUCCUGUUUGGGAAUAUGACAACUUCCUCGUCAUUCUGAUCAAACCAGGAUGAAUCGCGAUGUAAAGAGCUGUAUUUGGAUAUAUAAAGUAGUGGAUAAUCACCAGGAAGUUGAAUAAAUCUCAUAGGAGUUAGGAUGAAGAAGUUAUCCCACUUUUAAAUCAGGUAAUCCCAGUUUUCCUGUUUGGGAAUAUGUAAACUUCCUCGUCAUUCUAAUCAAACCAAGAUGAAUCGCGAUGUAAGAAGCUGUAUUUGGAUACAUAAAGAAGUGGAGAAUCACCAGGAAGUGGAAUAAAUCUCAUAGGAAUUAGGAUGAAGAAGUUAUCCCACUUUCAAAUCAGGUGAUCCCAGUUUUCCUGUUUGGGAAUAUGACAACUUCCUCGUCAUUAUGAUCAAACCAGGAUGAAUCGCGAUGUAAGAAGCUGGAUUUGGAUACAUAAAGUUGUGGAGAAUCACCAGGAAGUGGAAUAAAUCUCAUAGGAAUUAGGAUGAAGAAAUUAUCCCACUUUCAAAUCAGGUGAUCCCAGUUUUCCUGUUUGGGAAUAUGACAACUUCCUCGUCAUUCUGAUCAAACCAGGAUGAAUCGCGAUGUAAGAAGCUGUAUUUGGAUACAUAAAGUAGUGGAGAAUCACCAGGAAGUGGAAUAAAUCUCAUAGGAAUUAGGAUGAAGAAGUUAUCCCACUUUCAAAUCAGGUGAUCCCAGUUUUCCUGUUUGGGAAUAUGACAACUUCCUCGUCAUUCUAAUCAAAUCAGGAUGAAUCGCGAUGUAAGAAGCUGUAUUUGUAUACAAAAAGUAGUGGAGAAUCACCAGGAAGUGGAAUAAUUCUCAUAGGAAUUAGGAUGAAGAAGUUAUCCCACUUUCAAAUAAGGUGAUCCCAGUUUUCCUGUUUGGGAAUAUGACAACUUCCUCGUCAUUCUAAUCAAACCAGGAUGAAUCGCGAUGUAAGAAGCUGUAUUUGGAUACAUAAAGUAGUGGAGAAUCACCAGGAAGUGGAAUAAAUCUCAUAGGAGUUAGGAUGAAGAAGUUAUCCCACUUUCAAAUAAGGUGAUCCCAGUUUUCCUGUUUGGGAAUAUGACAACUUCCUCGUCAUUCUAAUCAAAUCAGGAUGAAUCGCGAUGUAAGAAGCUGUAUUUGGAUACAUAAAGUAGUGGAGAAUCACCAGGAAGUGGAAUAAUUCUCAUAGGAAUUAGGAUGAAGAAGUUAUCCCACUUUCAAAUCAGGUGAUCCCAGUUUUCCUGUUUGGGAAUAUGACAACUUCCUCGUCAUUCUAAUCAAACCAGGAUGAAUCGCGAUGUAAGAAGCUGUAUUUGGAUACAAAAAGUAGUGGAGAAUCACCAGGAAGUGGAAUAAUUCUCAUAGGAAUUAGGAUGAAGAAGUUAUCCCACUUUCAAAUCAGGUGAUCCCAGUUUUUCUGUUUGGGAAUUUGACAACUUCCUCGUCAUUCUGAUCAAACCAGGAUGAAUCGCGAUGUAAGAAGCUGUAUUUGGAUACAUAAAGUAGUGGAGAAUCACCAGGAAGUGGAAUAAAUCUCAUAGGAGUUUGGAUGAAGAAGUUAUCCCACUUUCAAAUCAGGUGAUCCCAGUUUUCCUGUUUGGGACUAUGACAACUUCCUCGUCAUUCUGAUCAAACCAGGAUGCGCGAUGUAAGAAGCAGUAUUUGGAUACAUAAAUUUGUGGAGAAUCACCAGGAAGUUGAAUAAAUCUCAUAGGAGUUCGGAUGAAGAAGUUAUCCCACUUUCAAAUCAAGUGAUCCUAGUUUUCCUAUUUAGGAAUAUGACAACUUCCUCGUCAUUCUGAUCAAACCAGGAUGAAUCGCGAUGUAAGAAGCUAUAUUUGGAUACAUAAAGUUGUGGAGAAUCACCAGGAAGUAGAAUAAAUCUCAUAGGAGUUAGGAUGAAGAAGUUAUCCCACUUUCAAAUCAGGUGAUCCCAGUUUUCCUGUUUGGGAAUAUGACAACUUCCUCGUCAUUCUGAUCAAACCAGGAUGAAUCGCGAUGUAAAAAGCUGUAUUUGGAUAUAUAAAGUAGUGGAGAAUCACCAGGAAGUUGAAUAAAUCUCAUAGGAGUUAGGAUGAAGAAGUUAUCCUACUUUCAAAUCAGGUGAACCCAGUUUUCCUGUUUGGGAAUAUGACAACUUCCUCGUCAUUCUGAUCAAACCAGGAUGAAUCACGAUGUAAGAAGCUGUAUUUGGAUACAUAAAUUAGUGGAGAAUCACCAGGAAGUGGAAUUAAUCUCAUAGGAAUUAGGAUGAAGAAGUUAUCCCACUUUCAAAUCAGGUAAUCCCAGUUUUCCUGUUUGGGAAUAUGUAAACUUCCUCGUCAUUCUAAUCAAACAAGGAUGAAUCGCGAUGUAAGAAGCUGUAUUUGGAUACAUAAAGAAGUGGAGAAUCACCAGGAAGUGGAAUAAAUCUCAUAGGAAUUAGGAUGAAGAAGUUAUCCCACUUUCAAAUCAGGUGAUCCCAGUUUUCCUGUUUGGGAAUAUGACAACUUUGUUGAGAAGAAGGCAUUAGAUGAUGAGAUGGAUUGUUAAUAAGAGAGUGAGGCUUAGGAGAGCAAUGGGUUGGAGGAAUGAGUUUGGGAGAGGCUAGGCCGUACAGGCCGUACCAUGACCGUACAGGCCGUACCAUGGCCGUACAAGAGGAACUCGACAAAGAUCACUCAUUAAGGGAAGUUACUACACUCGGUUAACUUAAGAGGUAAAGGAGAAGUCUUACUAACCCUUUACUGAUGUUACCGUGUGGAGAGGAUAAGGGAAGAGCUUAUGACAGGCUGUCAGGAGCUGUGUAAAGGUAAAGGUGCUUUACACACAAGGAAGAGCUUAAUUGGACAGUUUGAAUUAAAGUAGAAUCUUAUCCUAUGUAAUAGUGUGCUUUCUGAAACCCUUAACCCACGAGCUGCCUCUCUAUAUAUUGUAACAUCUGGUCAUUAAUAAUAUUUAGACAGUUCAGACUAUCCUUUGCCUCCAUGGCUUACUCGUAGUCUCUUACUCUCAACUCGUUCUCUACCCUUAGUUUCUCUCUAGUCUCUUUCAAAUCUAUUCUAAACACUCAGAUUACUCUUCAUUACUCUAAACUUUCAUGGUAUCAGAGCCAGGUUCAUGAGAAUCUGAGUUCUUGGUGAGAUCUGCUAGAACACAAGGUUGAAGCUUGGAGCUGGGCGUGAAGAUUCAAAACUUCAAGUCUUCUCCGGUUGAGUCCUAGUCCGAGAAGGUGUGUCUGGUUGAGUUCACUGAUAGUUUCUAUUGAGAGUCCUGGUUCCGUGUGUUGGGUUAUUACUCUUUGUGGCUUGCGUGUUCAUAAAGGGGGUUGAUUGAAACGUAAACAUCAAGAAACAUCAAGAGUGUUACUUGAGUGCUUGCGGGUUUGGUGAUUUAAGCUAGUCAGUUGAAGAAGAUCCAGUCUAUUUCCGUGUGUAGUUUCUAGUCUCAGUCCAAGAUUUGGCAAGCUGUUAACGUCAAGCUGCUUCAAGAUGGAUAGUGGGAUGAAGAUGAAGGUGGCGGUUGUGUUCAAGGGGAACAACUACCUAGUGUGGUCACGAAUGGUGAGGACCGCAGUUGGGAGCAAGGGCUUAUGGGGACACAUUACAUCAGGUGAGGCCCCAAAGCUGAUUGCUCAAGAAGAAGACAAGGAUGAAGCAUCAAGAGAUCCGGUUGAGAAAUGGCAACAAGAAGACAUGAUGGUGAUGUCAGUUCUUCAUGCCUCCUUAGAGCCGGAGAUUCUGAAUGCAUACAGUUACUGUGAGACAGCAAAGGAGCUGUGGGACACCUUGAAGAAAGUGUAUGGAAACACAUCUAACUUGAGUAGAGUCUUUGAGGUGAAGCAGGCGAUUAACAACUUGGUUCAGGAAGACAUGGAGUUUACCAAGCACCUAGGACGGUUCAGGUCACUUUGGUCCGAGCUAGAGAUGUUGAGGCCAAGCACGGUUGAUCCCAAUGAGCUAAACAAGAGACGCGAGCAGGACAAGGUCUUUGGACUACUCUUGACACUGAAUCCGGUGUACAAUGGGCUCAUACAACACAUGCUGAGGGAUGAGACACUACCUGACUUGGAAGAAGUGUGCUCUCUAUGAUAUUUAAGGAUGUAAAUGAUUAUCUGAGUUUAGAAAGGAUUAUAGAAGGAGAAUAAGAGAUUAAGAGACAGAUUAGAGACUAAUGGAGAAUCAUAAUGAAAUGAGUAAAGAGAGAGAUUGUUUAGAACUGUCUGAUCUUUAUUAAUGGAUGAGAUUACAUAUAUAUAUGUCCAUACACUUAGGGUUUUCGAACUCAUAAAGAUAAGUAAGCAUGUAGAGUCAAAGGGGAGCCUAAGCUUUAAUUUGAACCGGCCAAUGAGUGUCUCCACACGUUUGGAGCAUCUUCUUGAUCCAAGACUAGAUGCUCUUCCUUUCCAGCUCUUGCCAGCCUGUCCUAGCUGUCAAGCCGCGUCUCCCUUAUCCUCUCAACGUUCGGAUAAGGCCUUGGCCGAGUGUAACUUAAGCUCAGUACAUAGAAGUUACUUGGAUAGUUACUUGGUCUCUUUUACCUUGUACGGAUGAUCACUUGUACGGCCUGGUACGGCCUCUCCGUCCGUACCAUCUCUAUCAACCCAUUCCUCCUCUUAACUUCUUUGCUCUCUUUAUGUUCUCAACUCCUUUGUGUCUUUACUUCAAAUGUAUCAACUCAUCUCAACACUCCCCCUCAAGCUUAGCUUUGUGAAAGUCUAAGCUUGGAUGGCUAUGAGAUCUUCCUCAUUAAAAACCUCACCAAGGAAAACCCAUUGGGACAAAACCUUGAUGAGGGAAAAAGAGUAAAGACCUCACAGCCAAGAGGAUCAGCUCCUUCUCUUCCCAAGAUCAAUGAGGCCCAACCUGAUAUGAAUGGACUCCAUUGUCUUCUGUCUUACAGCCUUGGUGAACACAUCAGCCAACUGAUCUUCACUCCUCGUGUAACAUGGCAAGAUGACUCCUAGAAUGAUCAUUUGCCUCACCUUGUGGCAAUCAACUUCAAUGUGCUUGGUUCUCUCAUGAAACACCGAGUUGGAUGCAAUGUGAAUGGCUGCUUGGUUAUCACAAUGCAUUGUCAUUGGCAUGGCUUGAUCAAUCUCCAAAUGCUUCAAGAUGCCUUUGAUCCACACCAACUCGUUGGUAAGCUUCAGCAUAGCUCUAUACUCAGCUUCUGCACUUGAGCAAGAGACCACCUUCUGCUUCUUACUCUUCCAUGUCACCAAGUUGCCUCCAAUGAAUGUGCAAUAGCCUGUGGUUGAUCUCCUGUCUGCUCUAUCACCAGCCCAAUCUGCAUCACAGUAUCCAACCACUUCAGUGCUUCCAUUGCAACCCAUCCAUAUUCCUUGAUCAGGUGAGCCGUUGAGAUACAUCAAGAUCCUCUCCACCAUGUGCCAAUGAUGCUCCUUAGGAACUUGCAUGUGUUGACUCACCUGAUUCACAGCAAAACAAAUGUCAGGUCUAGUUAUGGUAAGAUAAAUCAAUUUGCCAACUAGUUUUCUAUAGAGUUUAGGAUCCUGAUAAGGUUUGCUGUCUACAAUCUCCCCCUCUCGUGGGACUUUGUAACCAUCCUCCAUAGGCAUCCUUGCUGUCUUGCCUCCAUAAGCACCUGCACCUUUCAAAAGAUCAAGUGUAUACUUCCUUUGGGACAUGAAUAAACCUUCCUUGGUUCUACAUAUCUCAAUUCCAAGAAAGUAUUUCAUUUCUCCCAAAACUUUAAUCUCAAACAUGGAUUUAAGGAACUCCUUGGUUGCUAUGAUACCUUCCUUAUCACUUCCUGUGAUAAUAUAUCAUCAACAUACACAAAAAGUGCAAUCAUAGCUGAGGGAGUCGUGAGUGUGAAGAGAGUGUGGUCUAGUUCAGACUUCUUGAAGCCUCGGCCAUUCAGAGUAGUGCUCAGCUUGUUGUACCAAGCUCUUGGUGAUUGCUUCAGCCCAUAGAUAGCUUUCUUCAAUCUUAACACAUUCCCUCUCUUCACUAAGUGUUCCAGGCCUGGAGGUGGAUGCAUAUAUACUUCAUCCUCAAGUUCACCUUGUAGGAAUGCAUUCUUCACAUCCAUUUGCCAUAACCCCCAUCCAAGAUUCACAGCCAAGCUUAAUACAAUCCGUAUUGUAUGUAGUUUAGCUACUGGUGCAAAGGUUUCUAUGUAAUCUUCUCCAUAAGUUUGAGUGAAACCUCUUGCUACUAGCCUUGACUUCUUCCUUUCAACCUUUCCAUCAGCCUUAUACUUGAUUGUGAAUAUCCAUUUACUACUUACAGCCUUCUUCCCUUUUGGUAACUCACUUUCAUACCAUGUAUCAUUCUUGAUCAUGGCUCCUGCCUCAGCUCCAACUGAUUCCUUCCAUUCUUUAUCCAUGAUAGCUUCUUCAUAGCUUCUUGGAAUAUAGUUCUCAUCCAAGUUAACCAUGAAUGCACAAUGUUCUUCAGGGUAUUGAGCAAAGGAACACACAACUUGAGAAGGAUGCUCCACAGCUUGGGCAUUGUAGUACACUCGCGUGUUUACCCAAGAGGAAGGAUCCUUUCUAAGCCUUGUGCUUCUCCUCAAUACUGGUUGUUCUUGCACUUGAACUGGCUCAUCUUGUGUAUGCGGUUCUUGUGCUUCACUUUGAUGUUCUUCAUCUCCUCGGUCUUGCUCACCUUGAUGAUGAGAACCUGAGUUGAACUCUUCUCCUUCUUCACUCAAGCCGACUCCUUCUUGGCCAUUUUCUUGAGUUUCAGGUUCACUUCCCCCCUCAUGAUCAAGGUGAGGUGUUUGAGCAGCUCUACUUGGUUCAGUUGAGCUCUCUUCUGGUUGUCCACUUCUUGUGGACUGAUUCUGGUUCAUCUUGAUACCGAGACCUUCCAAAAUAAUCCUUAAGACUCCAGCCUUAUCUGAUGUAAGAUACCUCAAGUCUUCUUGAUUCUUCUCUUCAUAGUAUCCUCUUUCUUCAAUAAACUUCACAUCUCUAGAUACAAGUACCCUUCUAGCUUCUGGAUCAUAACACUUAUAUCCUUUUUGAGUUGUUGAGUAGCCAAUGAACAUUGCCUUUCUGCUUCUUGCUUCUAGAUUGUUCCUCAACUCUCCUGGUACCAACACAUAGCGUAAGCAUCCAAACACUCUCAUGUAUGCCAAGGAUGGCUUGCGCUUGUUUAGUACUUCAAAUGGUGCUUGAUCCUUCAACACCCUUGUCGGCAUUCGGUUGAUUAGAUAGCAAGCAGUGGAUACAGCAUCACUCCAGAAUCUCUUAGGUACAUUGGCUUGGAACAUCAAUGACCGAGCCACCUCCAUCAAGUGCCUGUUCUUCGUCUCAGCUACACCAUUCUGUUGUGGUGUGUAGGGACAGCUUGUUUGAUGAAGUAUUCCAUGAUGAUCUAGAUGACUUUUGAACGCAUAGCUUGUGUACUCUGCUUGGAACAUUAAUGACCGAGCCACCUCCAUCAAGUGCCUGUUCUUCGUCUCAGCUACACCAUUCUGUUGUGGUGUGUAGGGACAGCUUGUUUGAUGAAGUAUUCCAUGAUGAUCUAGAUGACUUUUGAACGCAUAGCUUGUGUACUCUCCUCCAUUAUCUGAUCUCAAAAUUUUAAUCUUAGCAUGAUAAUGGUUAGUCACAUAAGCUUGAAAGUUCUUAAAUGCAUCUAUCACCCUAUCUUUUGAUGGAAUUAGUGUUAACCAGGUGUAUUUAGAUUUUUCAUCAAUGAAUGUGACAAAAUACUUAUGAUUGUCUCUAGAGAAACUAGGUGCAGUCCACACAUCAGUAUGAAUCAAAUCAAAGCAAUUUUCAUAAACAGUAGAUGUUCUUGGAAACACAUUCUUACAAUGCUUGCCUAAAAUGCAAGCUUCACACUUAUCAUUUUCAAAAAACCACACCUGGUAACAUCAAGUUUAAAGCCCUCUCAUGGGGAUGACCUAGUCUAGCAUGCCACAAUGCAUUUUUAUUCAAACUAGAAGCAGAAGUAAAUGAGCAGUUAUGAUUGGAAACAGGAUCAAGCUUCUCAAGCAUGUAUAACUCUCCCUUUGUCACUCCUUUUCCAAUCAAUUGGCUGCUCUCAAUAUCCUGAAACUUCACAUCAUUAGGACUGAAUAUAACAUUGCAAUUCAAAUCAGUAGUGCAUUUCUUAACUGAAAGUAGAUUUGAUGUGAAUUCAGGAAUAUAAAAUGCUCUAGUGUUCUUAUCAAAUAGCUUUAAGUUUCCUAUUCCCUUAAUAGGUAUCUUAUCUCCAUUUGCAAUCAUCACAUAUCCAUUAGUAGGUUUUAUAUCUUUAAUCAGGUUGGUGUCACUAAUCAUAUGAUGAGAUGCACCUGAAUCUAUAAUCAAUGGUUUGGAUGCAUUGCUAACAUGAUGGCAGAUACAUUUUGAUCUAUAUGCAUUCAUCCUAGCAUUUCUAUCAAUGCAAUGCUCAAUUCCAGCCUUACUAUCAAUCCUAGCAACCUCAGCCUCACUGUGAGUCAUUUCUAUAGUUCUAGCUAUGAGAUUUAAGGAUGUAAAUGAUUAUCUGAGUUUAGAAAGGAUUAUAAAAGAGAAUAAGAGAUUAAGAGACAGAUUAGAGACUAAUGGAGAAUCAUAAUGAAAUGAGUAUAGAGAGAGAUUGUUUAGAACUGUCUAAUCUUUUAUUAAUGAGAGAGUUUACAAUAUAUAGACUUUAGAUCCUAGGGCUUCAUAAGGAUAAAGUAGAACAAGCAUGUGUAGUCAAUGAAGAGAGGCGCGCCUAAUUCAAACUGAGCCAAUGAGGAGCUUCACAUGUGUGACCGGAAUCUUCUCCUUCUUCACUCAAGCCGACUCCUUCUUGGCCAUUUUCUUGAGUUUCAGGUUCACUUCCCCCCUCAUGAUCAAGGUGAGGUGUUUGAGCAGCUCUACUUGGUUCAGUUGAGCUCUCUUCUGGUUGUCCACUUCUUGUGGACUGAUUCUGGUUCAUCUUGAUACCGAGACCUUCCAAAAUAAUCCUUAAGACUCCAGCCUUAUCUGAUGUAAGGUCCCUCAAGUCUUCUUGAUUCUUCUCUUCAUAGUAUCCUCUUUCUUCAAUGAACUUCACAUCUCUAGAUACAAGUACCCUUCUAGCUUCUGGAUCAUAACACUUAUAUCCUUUUUGAGUUGUUGAGUAGCCAAUGAACAUUGCCUUUCUGCUUCUUGCUUCUAGCUUGUUCCUCAACUCUCCUGGCACCAACACAUAGCAUAAGCAUCCAAAACUCUCAUGUAUGCCAAGGAUGGCUUGCGCUUGUUUAGGACUUCAAAUGGUGCUUGAUCCUUCAACACCCUUGUAGGCAUUCGGUUGAUUAGAUAGCAAGCAGUGGAUACAGCAUCACUCCAGAAUCUCUUAGGUACAUUGGCUUGGAACAUUAAUGACCGAGCCACCUCCAUCAAGUGCCUGUUCUUCCUCUCCGCUACACCAUUCUGUUGUGGUGUGUAGGGACAGCUUGUUUGAUGAAGUAUUCCAUGAUGAUCUAGAUGACUUUUGAACGCAUAGCUUGUGUACUCUCCUCCAUUAUCUGAUCUCAAAAUUUUAAUCUUAGCAUGAUAAUGGUUAGUCACAUAAGCUUGAAAGUUCUUAAAUGCAUCUAUCACCCUUUCUUUUGAUGGAAUAAGUGUUAACCAGGUGUAUUUAGAUUUUUCAACAAUGAAUGUGACAAAAUACUUAUGAUUGUCUCUAGAGAAACUAGGUGCAGUCCACACAUCAGUAUGAAUCAAAUCAAAGCAAUUUUCAUAAACAGUAGAUGUUCUUGGAAACACAUUCUUACAAUGCUUGCCUAAGAUGCAAGCUUCACACUUAUCAUUUUCAAAAACCACACCUGGUAACAUCAAGUUUAAAGCCCUCUCAUGGGGAUGACCUAGUCUAGCAUGCCACAAUGCAUUUUUAUUCAAACUAGAAGCAGAAGUAAAUGAGCAGUUAUGAUUGGAAACAGGAUCAAGCUUCUCAAGCAUGUAUAACUCUCCCUUUGUAACUCCUUUUCCAAUCAAUUGGCUGCUCUCAAUAUCCUGAAACUUCACAUCAUUAGGACUGAAUAUAACAUUGCAAUUCAAAUCAGUAGUGCAUUUCUUAACUGAAAGUAGAUUUGAUGUGAAUUCAGGAAUAUAAAAUGCUCUAGUGUUCUUAUCAAAUAGCUUUAGGUUUCCUAUUCCCUUAAUAGGUAUCUUAUCACCAUUUGCAAUCAUCACACAUCCAUUAGUAGGUUCUAUAUCUUUAAUCAGGUUGGUGUCACUAAUCAUAUGAUGAGAUGCACCUGAAUCUAUAAUCAAUGGUUUGUAUGCAUUGCUAGCAUGAUGGCAGAUACAGUUUGAUCUAUAUGCAUUCAUCCUAGCAUUUCUAUCAAUGUACUGCUCAAUUCCAGCCUUACUAUCAGUCCUAGCAAUCUCAGCCUCACCGUGAGUCAUUUCUAUAGUUCUAGCAAUCAAAGAAGCACCAAAUGAAUGCCCAUGAAUGUUACCAUUAUCCUUGAGCAUUUUGAUGAGUGCAUCCAUCUCGGACCUCCUGAUGAAGUCUUGAUCAUUGCCUCGGGGAUUGCUAGCUCCAAUAUAGGUCACCAAAGCUUUUCCAUUUCCUUCUAAGGAAGGAGUAGUUUGGAUAAGGUCUGGUCAUAGCUGGAAAGGUAAAGCACCUUUACAGCCUGUCCAAGCAUGUGAAGCAUCUUUACAGCCUAUCCCUUGACUUCACAUGCUUAUGAUUUCGAAAUCCUCUUUGUAUUAUCCUUAUCUCUUCAUAUAUAACUUGUAUCUGAGACAUUAAAUUAAUCAAUGGAGUUUUGAGUAUUCUCUCUAUUCUCUCUCUACUUAUUCUCUUAAUCUCUUUAAUCUUACACAAAACAAUCUGAUUGUUCUUAAACACACUCUAAUACACAAAAGUGUAUAUGGUAUCAGAGCCAGGUUACUAAAAGGGUGGAAGUGUGUUAUUCAUGUUCUUAAAAAAUCUGGUUUUGUGUUCUUGAGCUGUUCUUGAUGUUCUUGAGUGUUCUUGGUGGUUUUGAGCUCUGUUCUUCAUUUGCUGGGUUUUAUUGAGGACAUCUGAUGGAGUCAAACGUGAGCAGAGAGAUGAAGACAAGAUCAAGUUAUCAAGUGAAGAAAGGGAGAGAAAACAAGUGGAUCUGGUCAGAUUGGGUAGAGACAGCUUUGGAAAGCUGUGGGAUUUGGAGUAAUCAUGUAAAGGAAGAGCCUUUAAAGGUGAGAGCUGCUGAGAAAGAUCAGACAGCAAGUUUGAAGGAGAUUCAAGUAAAGGUAGAACCUUUAAAGGAGGUAGCUGCUGAAGAAGGUCAGACAGCAAGGUUGGAGGGUCAUGAAGCCAAGGGCGUGAUCUAUAGUCUAAGACAAAGGAAGGACGAGUUGUAUCAGCUUGUGGGGAGGCUGAGAGAAGUAGAAUCAGAGUUGGGUAUGGUGAAAACUCAUACAGGAAGGAGGAAGCAAGAUGUGAUCUUUAGCUUUCUUAUGGGAGAGAUAUGUGAGCUUGUUAAAUAUACUUGUGAUGUGUGGGAAAUGAACAGGAAGCCAGAAAGUAUUUGAGCUGGUUGAACACAUUUGUGAUGUGUGGGAGAUAAACAAGAAGCCAGAUAGAUGGAAGAGAGGUACAAGCUGCAAGAAGGGAAAGUUGAGAAAACUUUCUAAGAUGUGGGUCAUGAUGAGCAGAUUAUGGAGGAAGGGUAUCAAGGAGAGUAUGCAAGUAGGAGAGUGUUUCUACUCAGCUUACAUGGGAGAAUCUGUAGAGAGCAGUGGGGUUAUGAGGAAGCUAGAGACCAAAGGAGCAGAUGAGCGAGUCACAAAGGAGGAAUGGGAUGAGUUUGUCAAGUAUGUGUAUGCUUUGGCUACGACCCGGAGACAAGGUGCUCCUGCCAAAGCAUCCACAUCCAACAAACCCAUCAUUGUUGAUUCUGGAGCAAGUCAUCACAUGAUUAGUGAUAGAAGCUUAAUGAGUGAUGUAAAGAAAGCCACUGGGGGUGUGAUGAUAGCUAAUGGUGAUAGGAUUCCAAUAGAAGGAGUUGGAAAGCUCAAGCUAUUUGAUAAAGACUCAGAUGCCUUCUACAUGCCACAGUUUGCUUCAAAUUUGCUAUCUGUGAGGAAAGCCACAAUUGAUCUUGGCUGUCAAGUAGUAUUCAGGCCAGAUGAUGUUGAGUUCCAAGAUUUGAAGACUGGAAGGGUCAUUGGGAGAGGAGUCAGCAAGAAUAAUCUAUAUCAGCUCCAAUUGGCUAAGAUCUCUAAACCCUUUGAUUCUAUGUGUUUGAGUAGUACUUAUGAGAAGAUUGAUAGUAUUACUUGGCAUGCUAGAUUGGGACAUCCUCAUGCUCGUGCUAUUGAAUUGAUAAUUCCUAAUAUGUCAUUUAGACACUUGGAGUGUGAAGCAUGCAUAUUAGGGAAGCAUUGUAGGACUGUUUUUCCAACAUCAGAAACUACUUAUGAGCAUUGCUUUGAUCUAGUUCAUUCAGAUGUGUGGACUGCUCCUUGUUUGUCUAGAGAUAGCCAGAAGUACUUUGUGACAUUCAUUGACGAGAAGUCUAAGUAUACUUGGCUUACAUUGCUUCCAUCUAAAGAUAGGGUGCUAGAAGCAUUUAUGAACUUCCAAGCAUAUGUAUCUAAUCAAUACAAUGCUACUGUGAAGGUACUGAGAUCAGAUAAUGGAGGUGAAUACAUCAGCAAUGCCUUCAAGAGUCAUCUAGCCAAGCAUGGGAUUGUGCAUCAGACUAGCUGCCCUUACACACCACAGCAGAAUGGGGUAGCUGAGAGGAAGAACAUGCACUUGAUGGAGGUUGCUAGAUCAAUGAUGUUUCAUGCAAAUGUCCCAAAACGCUUUUGGAGUGAUGCUGUGCAGACUGCUUGCUAUCUCAUCAACCGGGUUCCAACCAAGAUAUUGAAGAAUCUGUCUCCAUUUGAGGUAUUGAACAAGAGUAAACCUGUCAUUGAUCAUCUACGUGUCUUUGGGUGUGUGUGCUAUGUCAUGGUUCCAGGAGAGCAGAGAAACAAGCUGGAGGCAAAGAGUACUAAGGCUAUGUUCAUUGGUUACUCUAUCACUCAGAAGGGGUACAAGUGCUAUGAUCCUGAAGCAAGGAGAGUGAUGGUAUCUAGAGAAGUGAAGUUUGUUGAAACAAAAGGUUAUUAUGAAGAAAAGGAGUGGGAAAAUCUGAAGGAUUUGUCUCAAGCUCCAUCUGAUAAGGCAACAAUACUGAGAGUGUUGUUAGAGAAGCUUGGGAUAGGAUUAUCCCAGGAUCAGGAAACCGGAAGGAGAGAGUCUUCCAAUCAGAGUGGUGGAGCUGGAAUCAGGAAACCGGAAGGAGAGAGUCUUCCAAUCAGAGAAGAAAAGGAGUGGGAAAAUCUGAAAGAUUUGUCUCAAGCUCCAUCUGAUAAGGCAACAAUACUGAGAGUGUUGUUGGAGAAGCUUGGGAUAGGGUUAUCCCAGGAUCAGGAAGCAGGAAGGAGAGAGCCUUCCAAUCAUACUGGUGGAGCUGGAAGAACAACUCCUCUUGAUCAUGAGAGGGGGAAUGGAACUGAAUCUGGUGAGCAAGAGCAAAACCAAGAGGAUUCAGGUCUUCAUGAUCAAGAUACAUCACAAGAAGUUGAGAACACUGAAUCUGGUGAGCAAGAGCAAAACCAAGAGAAUUCAGGUCUUCAUGAUCAAGAUAUAUCACAAGAAGUUGAGAACAAUGUUCAGUCUAGUGGAGAAGUGGAUGAGGUUCAGUCUAGUGUAGAAGAACAACUCAGACCGGCCAGUUCAGAAGAAGAGCAAGUGGAGCCGGCUAGUGUGCAAACUGAAGAUCAGGUUCAAGCUUUGAGGAGGAGCACAAGGAUAAAGAGGGAUCCUUCCAACUGGGUAAACACGAGAGUGUACUACAAUGCCCAGGCUGUGGAGCAUCCUUCUCAAGCCGUGUGUUCCUUUGCUGAGUUUCCAGAGGAGCAUUAUGCCUUUAUGAUUAGUCUGGAUGAGAGUUAUGUACCAAGAACUUAUGAAGAAGCUAUGUUAGACAAGGAAUGGAAAGAAUCAGUGGGAGCUGAAGCAGGUGCUAUGAUCAAAAAUGAUACAUGGUAUGAGAGUGAGCUGCCUAAGGGAAAGAAAGCUGUAUCUAGUAGAUGGAUCUUCACAAUCAAGUAUCUUGCAAAUGGACAGAUUGAUAGGAAGAAGACCAGAUUGGUUGCAAGAGGAUUUACACAGACCUAUGGAGAGGAUUACAUUGAUACCUUUGCACCAGUAGCUAAGCUACAUACAGUUCGGAUUGUGUUGUCCAUUGCAACAAACUUGGAGUGGGAUUUGUGGCAGAUGGAUGUGAAGAAUGCUUUCUUACAAGGUGAGCUAGAAGAUGAGGUAUACAUGCUUCCUCCUCCUGGUCUUGAGCAUCUAGUAAAACCAGGGAAUGUUUUGAGAUUGAAGAAGGCAAUAUAUGGGCUUAAGCAGUCUCCUAGAGCUUGGUACAGGAAGCUGAGUACAACUCUCAAUGGGAGAGGAUUCAGGAAGUCUGAACUUGAUCAUACACUCUUCACUUUGGUUACUCCAUCAGGGAUCAUUGUGAUACUGGUAUAUGUGGAUGAUUUGAUUAUCACAGGGAGUGAUAAGGCUGGGAUUAAAGCCACUAAAGAGUUCCUCAAGUCUGUGUUUGAUAUCAAAGACUUGGGAGAGAUGAAGUAUUUCUUGGGGAUUGAGAUAUGCAGAUCCAAGGAGGGUUUGUUUAUGUGUCAAAGGAAGUAUACAAUGGAUAUGCUGAAGGAGUCUGAUGUACUUGGAGGAAAGGUAGCCAAGACACCUCUUGAAGAGGGGUAUAAGGUCUUACGUGAGGGGUAGGUUGAAGAGAACCAGUUGUUUGAGGAUGCUAAGCUGUAUAGGAAGAUGGUUGGCAAGCUGAUCUACUUGACUAUUACCAGGCCAGAUAUAUGCUUUGCUGUGAAUCAAGUGAGUCAACAUUUGCAGGCGCCAAAGGUCCAUCACUGGAAGAUGGUUGAUAGGAUACUGAGGUAUCUGAGUGGGACGGCUGGACAAGGAGUUUGGAUGGGCUGUAAUGGCAGUACAGAAGUGGUUGGGUAUUGUGAUGCUGAUUGGGCAGGAGAUAGAGUGGACAGGAGAUCAACUACUGGGUAUUGUACAUUCAUUGGAGGGAACUUGGUUACUUGGAAGAGUAAGAAGCAGAAGGUUAUCUCUUGUUCAAGUGGUGAAGCUGAGUAUAGAGCCAUGUUGAAGCUGACAAACGAGUUGGUGUGGAUUAAGGGGAUCUUGAAGCAUCUAGAGAUUGAGCAGAGCACUCCUAUGACUAUGCAUUGUGACAAUCAAGCAGCUAUCCACAUUGCUUCCAACUCAGUGUUUCAUGAGAGAACAAAGCACAUAGAGGUGGAUUGUCAUAAGGUGAGACAGAUGAUUAUCUUAGGAGUGAUUCUACCAUGUUAUACAAGAAGUGAAGAUCAGCUUGCAGAUGUGUUUACCAAGGCAGCGAGAUUGAAGACAAUGGAGUCCAUACUAUCCAGGCUUGGACUCAUUGAUCUUACUCCCAGGAGCUGAACCCCUUAACCAUGGAGUCUCCACUCUUUUUCCCUCAUCAAAGUUUUAUCCCAAUGGGUUUUCUUUGGUGAGGUUUUUAAUGAGGGAGGUCUUCAUGGUUUCCAAGCUUGACUUGUUCCACAUGGUCAAGCUUGAGGGGGAGUGUUGAGAUGAGGUAAUAAAGAGUGAAUACAUUGAUAGAGAAAGAGGAUUGAGACAUACAGUAACUUUGGAGUUUUACCACAGUAACUUUGUUUUACUGUGGUAACUAAGUAAAAGCUUGGAAACUUACCUUGCUUCACCUUGGAGAGUUAGCCACGACCAAGGAGCUUCUGGAUAAGGAAGGGGCAGUCUGGAUAAGGUUUCCUCACAGCUAGAGAGGCUGGAGACAGGCUGUAAAGUAGACAGCAUCUAGUAAAAGAUGCCAAAGGGAUCAAGCAUGUGAAGACUCCCAUUGGCUGCUUUUGGAUAGCUCUCUUUGACUACACAUGCUCUGAAUCUCUACCCUAUCAGAUACAUUUCGAAAAUGGAUUGUCUCACUCAUAUAAAUAUGUUGUAAACCUCAUCUUUAAUAAUUAAUGGAGUUUUGAGUAUUCUCUCUAUUCUCUCUCUACUUAUUCUCUUAAUCUCUUUAAUCUUACACAAAACAAUCUGAUUGUUCUUAAACACACUCUAAUACACAAAAGUGUUUACUUCUUGUAGCCAUCUGUCUUCAGAGACCGGUUUGGAACUUGCUUCACCUUCAGCUUGGGUGGCGACAGCUUUGGAGUGGUUUGGAACAUCUGAGAUGCAAUGGCUCCAUAAACCCUUUCCUCCUAUGGCUGUCUUGGCUAGGCGUGACCAGAGAAGGUAGUUGGGGCCUUUGAGAGUGACUGGGAUGACAAUGGCUCUUUUGGACUCCAUCUUGAGGCUGGAAAGAGCAAAACUGUCAAGGAACUUCUUCAAAGGCUGGCGCUUGGGAGCUGAGUGAACUGAGCUGAACUGGCGUGGGCUGGAGCUUGUGUUUGUUGCGGAAGCUUCUACCAGGAGUCUGAGCAACCUGGCUCUGAUACCAUGUGAGAUUUUCAGAGUACAAGUGCUUGAGUGAUGUAAGAACAGAUGAGAGAUUUGUGUAUGAUGAAGUAUGAAGAAUAGAAAUGAGUUUAAGAGAAUCAGAGAGAGUAUGGGAGAGACUAAGAGAUUAGGAACGUGUAUGGGAGAUUAGAGAGACUUAGUAACCAGAGAAUAAGAUCCAAGAACAAGUUUAUGAAGAAGAGAGACUCUCUCAGCUUAAAAGUUACAAAAUGAUCCUAAGAGGCUUAUUUAUGCCUUUACACAACUCAGAUCAUAAACCUAGAUCCUAAGACUGUAAAUUAAAGAUAAAUGGAUGGUUAGGAUGAGAGAAGACUGGUCUUGAUGUGGCUGGAGCUAGCUGGCGACUUUGACUCAAGGUAAAGGGCUUAGAUUGCUUCAUUUGAAUUGGAUGGAUAAGAUGAGUCAAGGCUGUAAAGGUAAAGCACCUUUCCCUUUCCAGCUCAUACCAACAGCUCACCUUAUCCAUUUGAAUCUUCCCUUCCCUCCAAGUAUCCCAAACGGUCACAUAAGAUCAGAUUGAACCGCCCACACAUUGCACAUCUUGAUUUGGGCUGAACCGGAUGACUUGGGCGUGUGGAGUGGCCGUACGGUUGAUGGUACGGACCCCCUGUCCGUACCACUAUCCCUAACUAUGCACAAUGCCUUAUCUCCUUCUUGACUGACCCCAAACACCUUCAUGAUUCACCCUAGACCGUACAAGGCCGUACCAUUCGCCCUAGCUUUGCACCUAUGGCCAUCUUCUCUCUAACUCCUCCAAACCCUUAACAUGAUCAGUCUAAGUCUUUCCUAGACUUAACUUCUCAAGAUAACUACUUCAGAACACUUCUGAAGCUUGAUUGAACUCUUCUGGACAUUUUCUAGAGCUUGCCCUAUUAUUGUACAAGCUCUAUCUUCUCUUCAGUUCAACACUUCGUGCCAACUCCUAUGAGAUUUAUUAAACUUCCUGGUGAUUCUCCUCCACUUUAUGUAUCCAAAUCAAGCUUCUUACAAAGUGAUUCAUCCUGGUUUGAUUAGAACGACGAAGAAGCUGUGCUAUUCCCAAACUGGGAAACUGGAAUCACCUGAUUUGAAAGUGGGAUAACUUCUUCUGCAAGGGAAAAAGAGUAGAGCUCUCCAAAGCCUAGGGAUUGGCCAGUGAGCCCUUGUGCCUUAGAACCAGUGUGGUUGGACACAAGAAGCUCUGGAUCACGGCCUAAUAGGUGCAGCAACUCUUCACAGCUUUGCGCACACUUCACACUUCAGCUUCACCUCUUCUUGGAACCGAUUUGAAGUCUCCCCCCUCUCAACUGACUUCUCAGCCAUCUUAGAGAAGCUAGGACACGACCAGAUCAUCUUUAAAACACCAGUGAGCCUGAUCAACACUUCACACACUGCUUGCCCUCCUCAUAGACCUGGUUUGGAUCUCCCCCUCUCAACAGACUUCACAGCCACCUUAG